AACAUGAAGGUUUGUAAUAAAAAUUUGUUUCUAUCAGCAUUGCUUUGCAUUGCUAUUGCAGGAGUUUUGGGUCAAGCUCCUAGUAAUCCUCCUACGUCUACGCCGGCGCCACCCACACCACCGGCUUCUACUCCUCCUCCGACGACUCAACCACCGCCUACACCAACCGCCACUCCGCCACCAGUUUCUACUCCUCUUCCCACUUCAUCACCGCCCCCAGUGACAGCUUCUCCACCCCCAGUUUCAACUCCUCCACCCAGUUCUCCUCCUCCCGCAACUCCACCACCUGCUUCUCCACCUCCUGCAACUCCACCUCCAGCUUCUCCACCUCCUGCAACUCCACCUCCAGCUUCUCCACCUCCCGCCACUCCUCCACCAGCAACCCCCCCACCUGCAACUCCUCCUGCUACCCCACCACCAGCUCCAUUGGCUUCUCCUCCAGCCACAGUCCCAGCUAUCUCUCCAGUACAAACACCAUUGACCUCGCCACCAGCUCCGCCGACCGAGGCCCCAGCACCUACCCUCGGGGCUGCUACGCCAGGUCCAGCUGGAACAGACACGGUACAUUUUCUCUUAUUCCACCAUUUUAUAUCUUUCUUCUCCACCUACGAUCAAGCUUUAUUAUCGGUUGAAAUUUAAGCCUUUACAGCAAGACUUAAAAUAUAAUUUUAUUAAUGUUUUUAUAAUAUUAAAUUAUAAUUUUAUCAUUUUUACAUAUUAAUGUAUAAUUUUAUAAUAUAAUAACUUAAGUGAUAAAAUUUUUUAUUUUCGGUACCGUGCCAACUUUCUAGCCUCGCCCUUAUCUUACAUAAACAACAAUCUGAGCUUGUCUCGAUAUUAGCUAACCCUUUAGCCAUUAGAGAUGGCAAUUGGUACCGUCCCGAUACCCUCAACAUAAUCUGAGUUAAAAGUAAAUAUUUAUCGGGGUUUUAUCUGUUUUUAACACAAUAUUUAAAAUUAUUUAUAUUUUUUUCUCAACUUAUAAAUAAAAGGAUAAUACUUCAACAUAUUUGAACCCACACUUUCUUAUAUUAACAACGGUAUCUAUGUCAAUCGAAUUUAACAAUGGUACUUAUGUUAAUUGAAUUAAGACUGAAUAUAUUAAAUUUAAUUAAAACUUAACAUUAACCACAGUAUGAUUCAACAUAUUAGCUUUAAUUAAUGUUGAUUUUGAACAUAUUAUUGCAGAGCGGAGCAAAUCAAAUGUGGACCGUACAAAAGAUGAUGGGAAGCUUAGCCAUGGGAUGGGCUCUGCUCAAUCUGAUGGUUUAAAACAACCGUGUGCCUCACAUUUGAUGCCAUAGCUCUGUAAUGUUUCAUUCAAUUGCUUAUUUCGGCCUUGUUUUUCUCGUAUUUUAUGGGCUGAUGUCUCAUAUGGGACUUUUCUACUAUACGUAUAUGAGAGCCUACAUUACUUUACCAUUAUAUUGUAUUCUUUGAGACAUUAUUAUUAUUUUUUUACCUUUUGAGGACACUCUUUUUUGUAUUUGAAGGAAUUUAUUGUUUAUUUUGUUUGGAAUAUGUUGGUUGAUUUAUUCGAUUCAUAUAUAUUAUAUAAAAGUAAUUAUGUUAUUAAGAAACGUAGUAAGAACUUACAAACAUGAGGAUCGAAUUCUGAACUUCAUACAAAUCAACUUAUAAUCCACACAAGUUUAACAUUAAAUUAGCGUGAUUGGUUAGUAAAUUCAUAUUUUUCUGUUUAAUUUUUUGAAUUCUUAUUAGCUUUUUUAAUGAACAAAAUGAAUUAGAUCAACUGAUUGAAUCAGUUGUCUAAUCAAUUGAAUUGAUUAUUUGAUGCAAACUUGUAAAAAGAUAAUAAAAAUUUUAAAAAUUAAUAAUUGAAUUGACGAUUUAACUAAAUUAAAUUAAAAAUAGAACAUAGGAGGAAGGGAAAACUGAUUUCUUAAGCAACUUAGAUUGGAAGUGUAAUUAUUAUGUGAAUUACUUAAGGUAGAAAAAGAGUGUCCAAAAUUGGAGAGCAUGCAUGUGGAAAGAAAUGAUUAAGAAUGAUAAUGACUUUAGUUGGUUAUAGUUAUAAAGACUUAUAGAUGAAGUUAAACCAUUAGGUCCACCAUUUAUGGGUUCCCUUUAUUUGCUUUGGAGUAGCUUUGAGAGUUGGGAUUCAUGGGAUGUGAGAAGUAGACUUUGAUUCAUUGGGAAGUAGCUACAUUUUCCUUAGUCCUACCAUCAAUCCCAUUAGUGAUUAACUCAUUAGUCAUGGCUAAUCCAAUAAUAAUUAAUUAAUUAAUUAAUUAAUUAAAAUUUUAGAAAUCAAUUCAACACCUAUAUCCAAAUUGAUAUACUAAUUAAUUUUUUAUCCAAGUGAUUAGUUCGAUUUGAAUAACACUAUAUAUCAUGAAUGAAUGAACGUGUGGGGAUAGUUUGUUUUGUUGUUUUGUGAGAACUCAUGCUCUUGCACUUUUAAAGGGCAAUCUCUAUUGUUAUAGGCUAAUUUUGGCCCAGUCCAUUUUAUAAAUAACCCAAUUGUUAAACAGCCCAAACCCAAUGGUCCAUUACAUACUCAAUUCACAAACCCUAAACCUAGCCCACUAGUACUAAACAUUUUCCAGCAAAAAGAAAAAGGAAGAAAUCCUAGCCAUCUAGCCACUUUCCCACUUGCCCCAUUUUCCUCCCAUUUUUUAUAUCCAUUGUCUGCCACCAUCACCUACAAAAGAAAUAGAAAAAGAAAUAAUAGAAAAUCAUGUAAAAGAUGGCUAUAAAAAACCAUUUAAAAAUCAUGUAAAGGGGGAAAAAAAGAAUUUUUGGCUAUCAAUACAAAAAUGAUUUUUUUUUUGCAUCAAUACUAGUAGGUUAAAAUACAAGAAUAAUUCCAAAAUACCAAAACAGUGCAAUAUCAUCGAAUCAGAUCAAACCCUAAGGUGAAUGUACUAUUUUUUUUAUUUUUAUUUUUUGUUCAUUUUCGAAUCUUUUUUUUCUUUCCUAUCUAAAUACAUAAAUAGAAACAAAAAUGAUAUUUUAAAACAUAAAAAAGAGAGAGGAAAAUUUACCUUUUUCGGCCACCGUGUACGGUGGCCGGCGCCGGUGACGGUGGUCCGGCGAUCGGUCGGUGACCGGCCCAUGGCCGGAAAUCUCCUUCCCCCUCCCUUCUCUCUUCCUUCUCUUUCUUUUUUUUCUUUCUCUCCUCACCAAAUGAUUUUUUUUUUUUGCAAAUUUUAGCCCUUUUAUAGCCCCCCAAAACGGCGUCGUUUUGGGGUUGGCCUUUAAACCCCAAAACGACGUCGUUUUGGCCUAACCCAUUUAUUGACUCGGCCCGCUCCAAGGAUCCGCGUGUUUUUCAUUGGAGGGGCUAAUUGCACUUUUAGCCCCUCCGCUUUUUCAUGCUUCUGCAAUCAAGUACUUUUUUCAAUUUUUUAAAUUUGGCCACAAAGUAUGUAACGCUUUGCGAUUUAGUCCCUUUUGUUGUGUUGUGUUUUGAGGGGAGGAAUAAUUCUGUUUUUAGCCCUCAUUUGUUUUGUGCGCGUCCAAUCAAGUCCUUUCUUUUUGUUUUUAUUGCGAAUUCGCCCCAAACUUUCUGGUUUAAUUUCGAUUUAAUCUUUUUUUAUGGUUUAGCUAUUUUGUCCUUAAAUUAGUUAAUUUUAUCAUUUUUGCUAUUAUUUAUACUGCUAUUUCCUAUUGUUAUUAUUGUUACUAAUAUCAAUCUAUUACUAUUAUUAAUAUUACUAUGUAGUAAUGUAUAUUUUACAUACGUAUAUGUAUAUAUAUAUUUAUAUAUGUUGUUAAUUUAUUACUUUAUUUUAAUAUCUUUAUUAUAUUUACUUUUUAUAUUUUAAUAUUAUUAUUAUCAUGAUUACUAUAUAUUAGUGUAUAUUUUUUUAUUAUAUAUUUAUAUUUAAUAUAUUUAUGUAUAUACUUAUGUAGCAUUAUUAUUAGUCCUUUUUAUCCCUAAUAUUUAUGUAUUAUGUAAAUAUUUUAAUUUUAUAUUAUGUAUAUCUAUAUAUUUUUCGUAUAUAUUAUGUAUAUAUGUUUUCAAUAUUGUAUGUUAUAUAUAUUAUUGUGUAUAUAUUUUAACAUUAUUAGUUAUACAUCUUUUAUUCUAUUUUAUAUAUAUUUCUUAUAUCAUUGUAUAUUUCUAACAUCAUUAUUAUUUAUAUAUAUAUGUAUGUAUUUAUACAGCGUAUGAAUAGUUUUUAUAUUAUUAUCAUUUCUAAUAUAUAUUAUAUGUAUUUUAUAUAUUAUGUAUAUAUUUUAAUGUUAUUAGUUACAUAUAAUUCUUAUGCUGUUCCAUGUAUAUAUUUUUGAUAUCAUCUUAUGUACAUAUAUAAAUAUUAUGUUAUAUACAUAUAUGCAAUAUGCUUUUUAAUACCAUAUUUUGUAUGUAUUAUUAUUAUAUCUAUUUUUAUCCCUAUUAUAUUUAUUGUUAAUACUAGUACAUAUAUUUUAUUAUAUGAGUAUAUAUAUACUUUUAUAUAUAGUAUUAUUUUCAUACAUUAUCAUAUUUAUUAUUAUACCUAUUAUUUUCACUAUUUUCACUUAUUAUUUUAUUUUAAUAUUAUUAUAUAUAUUCAUAUAUGUUAUGUACAUAUUUUUUUUAUAUCUAUUUUAUACAUAUGUAUAUAUUAUAUAUAUAUCUUAACAUUACUAGUUAUAUUUUCACUAUUUUAUGUAUAUACUUCAAAUACUAUAUAUAGUAUAUUUCUAACACUAUUACUAUUUAUAAAUAUAUAUAUAUUUUACGUACAUACUCUGAAUAUCUUUAUUAUGUAUAUAUUCGUUGUUUUUAUUUCACAUUGGAUAUUAUUAUUAUGUUUAAUAUAUCGCAUGCAUUGUUAUUGUUUUAAUAUUGUUUUCAUAUUUAUUAUUUGUUUCAAUGUAUUUCCAACUCGUUUAUUUUUGUCUCCCUCCUAUUUUAUAUCAUUCUGUUGUUCAUUACUUUAAAGAUUUUUAUUCAUGUUUUUACUAUUUCAAUAAAUAAGGCAAUGUUUCGCAUUUUGAAACAUCGAAGAAUUGUGCCCUAACUUACGGGGUUUCGGUUCUCUUGUUGGUUCUAAAUAGCUAAAUAUCCUUUUGAGUUUUGAAAUGCACGGAUUUCCAAUUUAAAUUAAAAGACGACCUUGUGCUCGGGAAUUCAUGGUAUUGUGUCCUAACUUACGGGAUGUGAUACUCCGAUAUCUCGAGAUAAGGAAAUCUUUAAAGAAAUCGAUUUAAGCUAAUUCAAGAAUUUUAAAAUCAGUAUUAAUAGAAAAGAUCGUAUUUCAAGUCCCUUCCCGAUUUUUAAUUUUCGACAUUAAGACACUAACUAAUUAAUUCGGUACCAAUUUUUUGGGCGUGUCGAGGGUGCUAAUCCUUCCUCGCACGUAACCGACUCCCGAACUCAUUCUCUCAAGUUUCGUAGACCAAAGGCCCUGUUUUAGUAAACUAAAAUUGAUUUAUUAAAACAAAGGUGAUCCGAUCACACCUGGUAAAAGAUUGGUGGCAACUCCCGUUUUAAUUUUCACUUUCAAACAAAGUCGAUCCCCGUUUUCAAAAGAAUGGUUUCGACAUCUAUAAACCCCAUUCGCUGUUGUGCUUUGGCCAAAUGGGUUGCUAACUAUCAUAUUAUUUUCAGUAAAAUCUAAUUGCAAGCCUUUCUCUUUUACCAUAGAAGUGCAUAUGUAGGAGUGUAUGGAACCUGGGUCACACAAGAGUCAAAUAAAGAGAAAGUACCAAUAAUAAUGUCAGGUGCAUCCUGCUCCUCUUGUGGCUCAAUACCAUAGCAUCGUGCUGGUACUAGAGUAUUUGAUUUAAUCGGAAUCUCUUUCUUAGCUCUCUGACUAUUCCCAGCAUUGCUAUUCCUAAUAAACUUUCUAUUUCUUUGAGAAGUGGGGGCAGAUCUCUCUGUUUGUGUAGGGGUACUGGCUAUCUUCUUAGCGCAAUCUUUGAAGAGGUGUUCUUUAGAGCCACAUCCAAAGCAUGCUCCUGUAACUCUCCAACACUCCCCAGAGUGGCUAUUGUUGCAGUGCUCACAAAUCAACUGAGAUGAUCUUUUCACUAACCUUGUACUGGCCACAGAUGUCACCUGCUGUACAGACCUAGCUACUCAACCCUGACUCAGCCUCUGACCAUGCCUUUGAGUGUGAAUUGGUGUAGAAUAUGAUUGACCCUGAGAAUCCCUAGCCUUUUUGGUAGCUGGAAAUGAUGCAUAACUAGUCUGUCCCUGACCUCGCUUAAUCUGGCUCCAAUUCUUUCUUUUCUACUCUUCUUGCUUAACUUGCUCUACUUUCAAAGCUCUCUCCACUAAGGUAGAAAACUCUUGAAUAUUCAAAGCGGCAAGGUGUACCUUAAUCCCAUUAUUGAGGCCACGCUCAAAUCUUGCGCACUUAUCUGCUUCUAUAGAUACCAAUUCUUUGGCAUACCAGCUGAGUCGUAUAAACUCUCUCAUACUCAGCAACAGUCAUAUCAUUCUGCUGAAGAUACAAAAACUCUGCCCUCCUCUUUUCUAAAUAGAUAGCACCAAUGUACUUUUUCUUGAAUUUAGCUAAGAAAAACUCCCAAAUCAAUAAUUCAUUAUUCGACAUUUUAAAACUAAUAAAAAAAAUUCUCACUUUACUUCAAAAACAAAAUAAAUCAUGUGACAAUAAAAUUAAUGAUGUUAAUAAAUUUUAAAAUUCAUGUGAACAUUUUAAUUAGAAUAAAAUAUGUAGCUUAAUUAAUGAUAUUGUAAAAGUUGAACUAACAAAUUAUAUAAAAAAAUAAAGUAUAAAAAUUUAAAUUUAAAUUUAAAAACUAAAAUUUAAUCAUUAUUAUACAAUCUCAAAUAUAUAAACGGAUCAUAAUUGAAGUUAAUUAUUAUUUUAAUGUAAAUAAAAUUUUAUUUUAUUUUUCUCCAUAAGCUAUUAAUCAUAACUUUUAAAUUGUCAGGAAUGAAAUGAAAUUUUAUUUUAGCCAUGGAGGCAGGCAACACUGUCAAGGAACAAGGUACAAAUGGUAUACAAAACGUUGAGGUUCAUCAGGGCUGUUGGCUAUGGGGGAACUUAGGGUGCAUGGACAAAUUACAAGAUACUUAUAGAGGAUCUUAUGAGUAAAUUAGUCUUUAUAUGUUAGAUCAAAUAAUAAAUUGAUCUUUCUGUUAAAAUUUUUAUUCAUUUUUAUUGUUAAAAACUAGUUCCUAUAUGUUAACAUGAAGUACACACGGCUAUUCCGUCAACCACAACCGAUUUUUAAUAGAAGUGGAUGAAAUUUUUAAUAAUUUACUCUUUGAUCUAACAUAUAAAGAUUAAUUUAUCCAUUUUUAAGAAUAAGAAAUAAAAUACAAUUUAAUUCAUAGUACAAAGACUUUCAUAAUACUUUUACCCUCCGCACCAUAUUAAGAUAAGGUUUAUAACAUUAAAUAUUCAUGAAACGUGGGGGAAAAUGAAACAUUAAGAGAAUAUUUACUUCAAUACAACUAUGCAAAUAAUCUUUGACCAUUCACAAAUUGAAAAAACAACGAAGUUCCAAACGCUUCAUUCAAAGAUACAAUUCAAGAAAUAUGUGACUGAUGAAAAACACUAUAUUUUGUAUUUACAUUUUACUUUCACCAGCACUAUGAAACUGCAACCAUACGCCAAUCAUUUAACACAUUUUACAGCUGGCGAGGCAAUAAAACUAGUUAAUUCCACCUCAUUUACCAUGCCUUAUAUUCAAAAAGUAUUCUCACAGAGGAUCACAAAUCCAUUAAUAUUUGGAAACCUGUGAAUGAAGAUGCUCAAAUAUGAGAUUAAUAGGCUUGAAGUAAUGUAUGAAAAAUGAUUUUUUACCUUGUAACUUCUGAGGGGUUUUACUCAAAUGCACUGGCUACCAAUAUGAACUAUUGCAAACAUGUGAUGAUUCUAUCUAUGGUUUAUCAUACAUCCGAAUCAUGAUGUCAGUGCCGCCUUUCUGCGCUUCUUCUAAGGCGGAUUGCGCUCUCUCCCCUUUCAUCCUGAGGGAAUUCCAAGGUUUCAGUGAUGGAUAAAUCACUUGGAGGGAUAAAACAAUCAGCAGAAAGGCCUGGUAUGUUAAAGGCAACCUCUUCGAUCGUCCAAGUUUCUUCCAUCUUUGUUUUCGUAUGGUUCAUUGCAACUUCUCCAAACCUGAAAAGUGUAACGACCGUAUGUCCAGAAUGUGCUAUCAUGAUACCUUCGACAGGAUGGUAAUCUUCGAGAAAUGUAUUGAUUGUAGUUUCCCAAUAAACCGUAUCACCGCCAGUAGAUUGAACGCGAGUUAAAUGUGAAUCUUCCAUUUGAACAAGUAGUCCAGUCUUCUGACUGAAGUAGCCAAAUAAAACAUGCCUAAUGAUCUCCGCAGGGCCUUCACUUCUUGCCUUGAGUGUCCGAGGAUCGGCACAUAGCUUGAGGAUGAAGCAGUCUUCACCAUUAAUAUUUUUUUCUCCUAUGCAUCUUGCAUUAGCAAACAUGAUAGCUGUAGUUCUAGGGUCAAGACCCUAAAGCAGGAAUAUCAGAAAACCGAGAAGCAGCCAACGAACAACAAUCGAAUAAAGGGAGGAAAUUUCUCACCUGAAGUGCACGACGCAAGGGUCUAACCGGCCCCUUUGCGGUGUGUGCACCAAGCCAAGGUGUAUGCCUCCAUACAAGGUUCCCAUUACAACCAGCAUGAACCUUGAAGCCACUGACCGCAAGUUCGACAUACCACAUGUCCGGAUUCAUUUGCCAGAGUACAAACCAACCGGACUCGGCACUUCUAGAGACAUUACAGCUCUUAACAAUUCUCGUGGCAAUUUCGUAUUCACAAGCUACCAUUUUGAGCUUUCCCAUUGCAUACGCAUUCUUAAUGGAGCUUUGUAACUUUUGAACCCCAGUGGCAGCUAUAUACUGCUGCAAUAUGUAGUGAGCAGAGGAAGUUUCCUGCACACCAUACCACCAUACCGCAAUCAAUGGAAAAAGAAUAGAAAAAAGAAAAAUCAAUAAUGGGAAAAAUGACAGCAUUUUAGCACUUGAAAUAAGCAAGGAAUAAACCGUAAUAAUGAUCCCUGCAGCCGUUAAAACUCUGUUUUUGCACCUGAAAUUCUAAGUUCUAACAAUAUCUUUUGUAUCCAUCUGUUUGGAACCCAAGAAAAUUGUAUAUUUCUACAUGAAUUUUUGCAUUAAACAGGUAAUUAAAAAGAGAAAGAAUAAAAGGACUAACAAUGGGAGUAUCUUUGAUGCUCAAGUGAGGCAAAGGAUCAUUGGAGCUAACAUGAACUGGAGCUAAAGGGGCGCCCAUGAUUCCAAGCAACAGCCUUAGAUUAGACCUUCUGUGAUUCGUGGAAGUACAUAACUGUCCUUUAACCCAUUGUCCUAUCACCGACCCAACCCACUUCGGAUCCCCGGAUUUCUCUCGGUCCGGCUCCGGACCUUCCAUGAGAGGAGAUAACGCUUCCCCGACCGGCCUUUCACUCCCGGAUCUCGCCCUCAACGGUUCCAGUUGCACCACGUGAGCCCCGCCAUGGUGGUUGUCUUUGUUUCCACGUAACGUAGUGGACAUGAGUGAAAGGGGUCUUGCAGGGCUGUUGGACCGCGAGCGGGAAGGUGAAAGCCCGCGAACUAUAUCUUCUUUGAGAGCCGAGAGAAAACCUUGCUUUUUCUCCAUUACUGGCCUGGUUCUUUUUCCUUUCCUUAAAAAAUUCAAAAUAAAUAAGUUUCCUUCUCUGAUUUGGAGCUGAAUAAAAAAAAAAAAAAAACAGAGACAAGAAAAAGGGCGAAAGUAUUAGAGAGGAGAAGGUGAGUGCCCAAGUUCCUUCAUGAUUAUGGAGAGAGUGAGAACCCGAGAGCAGAGAUAUAUGCAUGUAUGCAUAAUAUUUGUCUUCUUUAUUCCAAAAAUUAGUAAAUUAGGCACUAUUCACUGAAUUAGUAAAUUAAAAUUAGUAAAAAUUAGGUCUAAUUGUUUAGUUAUUUUUAUUAGUGAUACCAAUUUUUAAUGGUAAAAAUUGAUAAAAUUCUUAACAAAAAUGAUCAAUUCACUCUUUAAUCUAAUAUACCGAAAUUAAUUUUUUCUUAUUUUUAAAUAGAGAGUAAAAUACAAUUAAACACUAGUACAGCAGCCUAGAACCAACAAGUGUUGGUGCAAUGAUAAGGCAUACUGCAUUUUUAAAUAAAGAAAAUCGACAUAAUGAUAUCUCAACAAAGAGACUAAUUUAAUUAUAAUAUGAAUUAUUGAUACUAAUUUAUGUUGCACCAUUGUUGAAAAAAUGUAAUAUUAAAAUCAUAUUUAUAUAAAAACUAAUCAACAAUUGAGUUAUUGUUAAAAUAGUAAAGUAUUUAUGAUUAAAUUUUAUUUAAAUAUUUCACAUAAAAAUAAUUUUAAAAAAUCAUUAUAUUAAAUAUUUAAUUUUUUAUUAAAUAAAGACUUUUAAGUAAUUUAUUUGAUCAAAUUGGUAUACAUUACCAAAUUUCAUAUAAAUAUAUAUAAUACAAAUAAUAAUUAGAAAUGAGAAUUUAUACAGUAUUAGGUGAGCCACUUUUUUUCCUUUUACGUUUAUAGAUUUAUAUACAAUAAAUUUUAUAUGUAUUAUUUUAUUAUUAUUUUGCAAUUAUAAAAUGAAAUAAUUAGUCGAUUGAAUAUUAAUUUUAUUAAUAUAGAUAUUAUUGUCAAUAUAGAAGGACUGCGUUCAAGUGCGCUGAAACGUAUUAUCUUUUUAUCUUUAGGUUAAAAAAACUUUAAAUAAUUCUAAAUAUUAGUUUAUGUAAAAAAAAGAUAAAAUAAAAAUAGGAAAUAAUUAAAAAUAUAUGAUAUGGCAGAGAAAAAUUGAGAAAUCCAAAGCAGAGUGUGAACAAACUAUAUAGGAAUGGUAUUGAAAUCUUAGUCGUAAAAUUAAAGCAAUAUCAUGACAUUGGUUAUCUUAGAUUUGGAACUUGUUGCUCUCACCAAACAAAUCCUUUGUCCAAUCAACAAAUUUCGUGAUGUCAUGAUGUGCCAAAAUCAAACUAAGUUCCAUGUUUUUUAAGUAAAGUCUCGUUUCUAAGUUACGUGGAUACAAAAAAAGUUUACUUAAGAGAGUUUACUUUAGAUUUAAGAAUUUAAUUUUUAGAUCUAAUCGAGACUUAAUAUAAAGUUAUAGCAUCUGGGAGGUUCAUAUAUUAUAGGGAUUGGAUUAAAUUAGUCUUUCUAUUGUUAAAUGAAUUAAUUUAGUCCGUAUACUAUUAAAAAUAAUCAAAUAAGUUUAACUUGUAACAAAAUUAACAUUUACUGUAUUUUUUUUUCAAUAGCAGUUCAAUUCUAAAUUAAAAGUUUAAUUUAUUGAUUAUUAUAUUCUUUUUAAUGGCAUAAGGAUUAAAUUGAUCUAUUUAAUAGUAAAAAGACUAAUUUGAUCAAGUCCCUAUAAUAUAAGAACCUCUCAAGUUCAUUCACACUAUUGAACAGAUUCCUUCCACCAAGCAUUUGAACGUGGUCUGAAUUUUGGAAUUAUCUUUGUUAGAAGAGUUUUAUUUGAAUAUCAUAUUCGGCCUAAACAAGGUUAAGCUUAGAUUGUAAAACGAACGAAGGCACCCGUAAUUAUAAGAAAAAGAUUUCAUUGUAUAAAUAUAAUUAUAACGGCUAAAUCAAAUUAAUUCCUUUAUUAUUAAAUGGAUCAAUUUAGUCCCUAUACUAUUUAAAAGAAUCAAAUAAAUCUAAAUUACAACAGAGUUAACAUUUACCGUAUAAAAAUGUCUUGAAUUUUUUUUUCAACUAUAAUGUAAUUCCAAAACAAAAAAAUUCAUUUACAAAACUAUAAAAACUUUAAAAAAAUAUUAACUCAAUUAAAAAGUAAAUGAUAUUUUUUAAGCAAUAAAUGUUAACUUUAUUUCAAUUUAAUCUUAUUCAAUUAUUUUUAACGGUACCAAAACUAAACUGAUUCAUUUAACAAUAAAAGGACUAAUUUGAUCGCAUCUAUAUUCACCUAUAAAAAUUUAACCCUUUUCAUUAAAUUGUAUUUGUACUCUUUUCGUAAAUAUUUUGAAUGCGUAGAUGAUGAAUGUAACAUUCCAUCCUCUACUUAUCUUUAAAUUCACAACACGUUAUAAUAAACACAUCUCACCUUUCACUUUUUUUUUUUCUUAAAAUUACUUUGCAACAACUUUUUUUACUGCAAAUUAUGUCAUUGAUUAUUGUUUGCAAGUAAUCAUAUUAUCAUUAUUACUUUGCUUUGCUUAAAAAAGUAUAGGGUAAAUUUUUAAAAUAGUCACUUUUAUUUUUCUCAAGUUAUAUUUUAGUCACUUAUGUUAAUAUAUUGUAACAUUUUAGUCAUUAAGUCGUUAAUUGCUGUUAACGGUGUAAUAGCAAACUGGCAUGGCACGUUAAUUAAUCAUUUCAAACAAAAAUUUUAGGUUAAAUUAUACAAUUGGUCCCCAUUUGUUUUUCGUUUUGAGUAAUUUUUUUCUUUUAUGUUCUUUUAAUUUUUUUUUCUUUAUUUUCCAUUCUCUUAUACUUCUCCUCUAUUUUCCUUCCUUCUCCAUCAUUUUUAACAUAAAAUGAAAAAUUAAAUUGCUCAAAACAAAAAAAAUAUAGGGACUAAUUAUAUAAUUUAACCUAAAAUUUUCAUUUGAAAUGAUGAUUUAACGUGUUAUGUCAGCUUACCGUUACACCGUUAACGACAAUUAACGAUCGGUGACUAAAGUGUUACAACAUGAUAACGUAAGUGACUAAAACGUAACAUUUUGAACAUAAAUAACUAAAAGAUAAUUGAGAAAAACAAAAAUGACUGUUUUAAUAGUUUACUCAAAAAUAUAUGUUUUAUAAUUAUUUGAUGUUGUUUUUAACUCUAUCCAUAAAUUUAAAGUUUCUAACAAAUUGACAGCUAUUUUUUUAUAAAUGUAAUAAAAAAUAUUUAAUAAAAUUUUAAAUUCAGAUGCGAAUAUUUAAAAAAGAUAGUAUGAGAAUUCCGUGUGUUGGCCUGAUGGUCAAGUGUUCACCACCUUAAAUGUGAUCUAGAUUCGAGUCGCGCUAAUUACAUUAUUAUUAAGGAUUUGCUCUCCAAUUGUAAUUAAAAAUAAUUGCUAUAAAUUGUCACCUUUAUUUCCCUUAUUUAUUUUAGUAAAUCCUAGUUGUCCAUUAAUUUUUUUCUUAAUAUGGUAUGUAAUUAUUAAUAUGUAACUUCAAAAGCAUUAUUUAUUUAUAAAUGAGAUUUUAUAAUUGAACUAAUGAUUACAUACCAUGUUAAGAAAUAUAAAUAUUUUAGAAACUAAUGGGAUGAAUUUUUGUUUUUUUUGGGGGUCUGGAGCAGUUUCAAAAUUUAUGGUUAAUAUCUAUUGUUCUGUUUUUUAUGUGGAAUUGUGGGGUAUUUUGGAUGGUCUAGGUCUUUUUAUUGAGUGAGGAUAUGACAAGGUGCUUAUUCAGUCUAAUGGUCUCGAGGCAAUCAUAGCUAUCCAGGUGAAUCCUCCAAAAGGGUCCAAUUCAUUCUUAAUUAGAUUAGGAGGAUCCAUCAGAUGUUAUCCUGGUUUAGAUAGUGGAACAUUAGACAAAUUUCUAAAGAGGAUAACAAAGAAGUUAAUCGCUUGGUUAAAUUGGUCCAACAUAUAUCAUAUAAUUUACUUUUGUUUGAGACUUUUCCGUUGUAGGGGAUAGUCUAGUUUUUGUAAUUAGUUUAGUUAUGCUAUUUUUUUCACAAAAAAAAAUCAUGAUCAACAUCUAUUCUAUUAACGAGCCUAUAGAAUGCGAAUGAUUAAUUGGUGAGCACGCUCCAGUAGAUACUUUGAAAAAUAAAAAUGAUAAUAAUAUUUUUUUAAUAUUCACACAUAGCUUGAAAUUGUAAUUAUUUUAUCAAAAGUGAGGUUUUUGUAUAUUUAAUAUUAAGCACAUUAUUACCCAAAUUUAUUCAUGGAUUAUAUACACAAAUAUGAAAAAAAAUUGGGAAAUUAGGUGGAUUUAUUCACCCAAAAUAAAAAUGUUUAUAGAAGAUUGAGUUAAGCUUGGAUAUACAUAUUUUUUUAUUUGAUUCGGUUUAAAUUAAAUUUGUCGAAACAUUGCAUAACAUGAUUAAUCUAAUCGAUCGACGUAUCUUAUUAAAAGAAAAUAUAGGUGAAUAAAAUUGUAUAUGAAUCGAUUGAGUUAAAUUUGACUACAAAUAAUUUAAUUAUUUGAUUUGAUUUAAACUAAAUUUGUCAGCAUGUUAGAUGGGAUGAUUAAUCCAAUCGAACGACGUAUCUAUUAAAAUAUAGACAAAAUAGAGGGAAAAAGAAGAGAGAAUUUAGGUGCACAAAAUUAUUUUAAAUAAAAUUGUUUAUGAAUCCAUCAAUUUAAAUUCAAGUCUUGAAUAAAUUCAAAUGGAAUAUGUCGAGCUAAAUGAUUAAUCGAAUCUAUAACCGUAUCUAGUACAGAUUAACUAAUUAAUCUAAAUAAAUUGUUUAUGGAUCGAUCGAAUUAAUAACGUUUAAAUGACUUUUUAUUUAAUCUAAUUUGUUGAAUCGUAUGCCCGUGCCUAACUAAAAUGUACCAAAAAAAGUAGACAAUUUCAUCUGAAAAAAAUUAAAAUUAUUGGAUUGGAUUAUCAACCUAACUUAUAGAUAAAUCGGUUUAAUUAAAUUCGAGUCGAAUAUCUAUAUUUAUUACAUGUACUAAAUUUAAAACUAAGACAAAACAACAAGGGGCAAAGAUCAAUAUCUGAAUAAUUAAAAUUUUUAUUUAUAAUUAUUUAAGGAUUUUGUUAUCAAAACGAAGGGCAAGUUUCAAUUUUUUUUAAUGCAUGAAAAGCUUAAACAUAACAUAAAUCAAAUAAUCAAACAACACUACUUCAAGCUUUAGCAUUUUUGGUUUCCUCGCCGUCUUCGGUCUUUACUGCCACAUUUUUGGGCGCCUCAAUUGGUGUCGAAGUUGCAGGUGGAGGAGGAGUUGGGACACGAUCCACCUUGGAUGGCAGUGCUUGAGUGGAAGGUGAAGAGUUGUUAAUCUCCGUUGCGUUGUAGGAUUCGAGAGUUAAGUUGUUGUCAAAAGACAUGAAAACAAACUGUAAGAGCUUCCUUUAGUGACGAUUGCAUCUUGAAGACAUAUUAAGAGGAAAGACAAGAAGAGAAUAAAAAGCAAAGAAGAUUUUGAUAUUUUCUUGCUUACAUAACACAAAUGAAAAAUAUAGACAUCAAAAUUUUAUAUAAAAAUAAUUUAAAAAAUAUUACAUCAAAUACACUAAAAAUAUUAAAAUAAAUUUUCUCAAUAAAUGAAAAAAAUUACAACAUGAAGAUUUUAUUAAAAAAUAAGGUACAAAAAUUACCUUGUAAUGUUAUUUUUUUCGAUAUUAUUUGUUUUAGUUAUUCAAUUCUUUUUUUAAUUUUAUAUCAAGUUUCUAUUCAUCCCAUUUUAACUUGUGUUCAUAUUUUUUCUUCUUCCAUAUUUUUAAUAUAUUUAUAUUAUAUUCAUGUUUUUGUUAUAAUUAUAAUCAUAUGUUAGAAUACAUAAACUUAUAUAUAACUUUCACAUGUUAAAUAUUUAGUAUAUAUUAAACUCCGUGUGUUGGUCUCAUAGUGUUCAUCGCCUUAAGUUUGGCCUAGGUUUGAGUCGCACUUGUCGUGUUGUUGUUAGGGCUUUACCCUUCUCUUGUAAUUCACCAAAAAAAUUAUUUGUUAUAUAUUUUUUUGACACAUUGUGCAAGCAUGUCGUAUUUAUAUUAUUUCCAUAAUGUAUUUUAUUUUUUAUAUAGUUUGUCCUAGUGAUUAAAUUAAAAGAUUAAAUUAAAAAUAAGUUUUAUGUUAUAUUUGUAUUGUAUUAUAUUUGAUAUAGUUUUUCACAAUAAUUCAAUUGUUUUAAAAAUGGCUUUUGUGUUUGUCUUCUGUUUUAAGUUAUUUGUACGGUUAAAAACUGACAUACCUAAGAAAUAACUAGUUAGUGACGUGGUGUGCCUCAUAUACGUCAUACUAAUGUACGAAAACCAAUUUUUAAGAGUAAAUAUGGAUGAAAUUUUUAACAGAAUGACUGCUUUGCUUUUUGAUUUAACGUAUAAUGACUAAUUUACUUAUUUUUAAUAAACGGAGAAAAAUACAAUCUGACUCUUAUUAUUGGGGCCUCCAUAAUAAUUUUAUUGGGAAAUAUUUAUUUUAAAUUUGAUUUUUUUGGUCCGUAGAGCUUAGGAUAAAUAUGUGGCAUGAAUAAGAAACGUGAAAAUAAAUAAAAACUAUAGCACGAUAUGAAUAUAAGAAUAUAAACCAUUAAUUUACAUAAAUAAUAUAUAUACAUGCGAGUUGUAAAAUUUAAGUGUGAUGUAAUCGAGGUUAUAGAAAAAAGGGAUGAAAAUACUAUAAAAGACCUUAUACUAGGAGUUAGAUUGUAUUUUACCCUCUCAACUAAAAAAUGAACAAAUUAAUCUUUGUAUAUUAGAUCAACAAGCAAAUUGACCAUUUCUGUUAAAAAUUUCAUCUAUUUGUACUAUUAAAAUUUGACAUGACUAACGAAAUAACCAAAUAGUAAUACAUGGUGAUACGAGCCUCAAAGUCCAAUUCCUUUUUUUGUAUGUUAGAUCAACAAGCCUUUUUUUAUUUACCUCAAGGCCCAAUAACAAAGUUAAAAACAAAGUAGAUCAAGCCAAGAUUGAACGAGAUUGCCCAAGACUUUGUUACAGGGGCGAAGCUAGAAAUUUUUUUUAGGGGGCCGGAUGAAAUUUUAAUUUUUUAUAGUUUAUAUUUUUAUAAUUUGUAAAUGAUUAAAUCGAUUUUUUAUAAUUUUUUUGGGGGGGCAAAGUGAAUUUUACCUUUACUAAUUUAAAAUUUUAAAAAAAAAAUUUAAGGGCCUAAAAUACAAUUUUACAUUUUAGAGGGGGCCGGGGCCAAUGCCAGCCCCCUGGCUACGCCCCUACUUUGUUACAAAGAACUUAGAAGCGCAUACGAGAAGAAAAGAAAAUCAAGAUUCACUUUCUUGUUUUCAAGAAAAUCAGGAAAUCGAAACUUGGUCAAAUUUUACUUUUUUGGGAGAUAUCAAGAAUCAAUAAAAUCAAGAUUUCAAAUAUUGGAAUUCUUGGUCCAAGAAACUGAUUCUUGAAGCCAAUGCACGAUGGAUCACAUUGUCGAGCUUGAACGAGCCAAUUUUGGGGCGCGAACGAAUCACAAUUUCAAGUUCUUGAAAAUCAACCCAUUUGGAUGUCCACAAGCCCAAUAUGAAAUUUGGAGAAGGACUUAGUUGAAUAUUUGACCAAAUUGUCAAAGUGUCCCAAUUUGUAAAUCUUUUAAUUUUUUUGUCCAAGUUUUAUUUAAUAAGUGGAUCAAUGUGUAAAAAAUCGGCUCAAUAAGCCCAUUACGAGCCUUUACUGAAUUUCCCAUCAAUUCCACAUUUAGACAUAUUUUUCACAUGUUAGUUAGUUACUGGAUGAGUUGUCAUGAUUAGUUAGCAUUUGAGAGGUUAUUAUAUUAUUCAUUUAUCCUUUGUUUAAAUAAAUACUCUUUCAAGGAUUGUUCUUAAAUUUUUUUUAGAAGAAGUUUUACCAAUCUUGUAGAUUGUGGGAACCAAUUGGAGGGGAGAUAAAAGAAGGGGGCUGUGAUUUCUUCGAUUUCAAGACUCCUUAGGACACCUAUCAUGCCAUUUUCAUCUUCUUCUUGCUUUCUUCUUUCUUUUGUUUAGGUUUCUGAUCGAUUCUUUUUCUUCUUGUUUUCAUUUUAAUCUUUAUUUGAUUCAAUUUCAUGUCAUGAACAGCUAAAAAUGACGUUUUCUCAUCAUUAUUCAUUAAGAAACACUAAAAAAUAUGAUAUCUCUUCUUUUCUUCUUGUGUUGAUUUUUUAAUUAUAAAAUAAUUUUAUUUUGGCUUAAAAAUUAGUUCGAAUAAAUCGUUUUGAUUGUUUUGUUUUAGAUUUGUUUCGAGGCUUUCUUAAAAUUCAAGAACGAUUUCAUUUCUUCCAAUAAACCCUAUUAAACUCAUUCUCGACUCUUCUUUGGCUUCCCUUCUCUUCUUUACUCUUUGAUUUUCUCUUUUCAUUCUUUUAAAUUCAAGAACUAAUCUGAUUUUGUUUCUUUGUUCUAAUCUGAAUCGGUCACCUAUUACCUCAGCAAAAUCGGUUCAAAUAUUCUCCAAUUUUUUGGAUCUUCAUCAUUCUUUGUUGGCCGCACCUUCCUUACCUAUUUUCUGGAAUUUUCAUUCGAUUUAAUACUUUUAUUUUUUCAAAUAUGUUCUUAUUAACCUAUUUUCUCAUCUUGGCAACCUUAAUUCAAAUGGAAUUCAUUAAAAACAAGUUCUUUCAAUAACUGACUUGAUUUCAUUUGCUACCCUUGUCAUUAUCAGAUCUAGCUAACUUGAUUUUUUGUAUUUCAGGUUGUUUCAAACACUAAGUUUUGCCUCAUUCGGUUUAGAGUUUUAGGUCAAAUUUGCGAUAAUUUUCAAUCUUAUUUCGUACGUGUCCGUAUCACAUGAUGUGUUACAUGUACUUCAUGUUAAUGUACAUGAAUCGAUUUUUAAUAGUAGGAAUUCAUGAUAGUGUUUAACAAAAGAACCAGUUUACUCAUUAAUCUAAGCUAAAUAGACUAAUUUACUCAUUUUUUUGAAAUAAAUAAAAUAAAAUACAAUCAAAUUCUUAAUACAUAACUUUUACCCAAACAAAUAUUAGUUCCACACCUCUAUAAAUCAAGCCCAAACUAAAAAUACUGAGGAUGUUUUUGGAUGGGCGAUGGGAUGUGGUGCGGUGCAUUUAGCCUACUUUUUGUUUCACAUUAAAAUAUUUUUACGGUAUCUAAUUUCAUCGCUACCGUUAUUUUUAGACUAACUGUAAGUAAAUGCAUUACCCAUCCAAACUCACUCUAAAUCACUAAAGCUAAAGGUGCACAUUAUGCCACAAUGAUCAUGAGAUUUAAGCUAAUUUGUUCCAAAAUAAUUCAACUAACAAAAAAGAAAUUGUUUUAUAUAAUUUAUUUGACAGUUACACAUAAGAGUUUGUUUUAACUUUGAAAUAUACAAAAGUAUUCGGAUUUUGAGAUUUUUAAGUUAGGAGUUUUGUUUUACAUGAAAAACAUUUAAAAUGUUAUUAUAAAAUUAAUUGAAAUAUAUUCAAAUUUGAAUUAAAAUAAAUUUGAAUAAAGUUUAUAUGUUAUGAGACUUAAAUUCGAACUCAUACAUACUUAAAUAUGCAUGAUGAAAUUAUUAAAAGUAUAUUAAUUUUAUAAAGCAACGCACAUUAUUUCGAGAACUAUUUUUAUCUUUUUUUAUAAUUUAUAUAAAAUGUAAAAAAAUAUAUAUACAUAUUAAAAUUUGAACACAAGAUAUCACAAUUUUCACCAUCUCAAUUUUACCAAUUCAAUCAAUAUUAUAUUAUUUUUUUAUUAUAUUUUUUUUCACUUACAAGUGUGUCAUAAUCUAGUAUUAAUUACACAUUUAAUUUAUCAAAUAUUAUAAUUAUAUAAUUAUACUUGUAAUUAAUUUUUGUAAUAACAAAUGAUUAAAAUAUGUUAUAACUCUUUGUACUUUUUGUAAAUUUGAAAUUUGGUCCUUUUAUUUUUCUAAUUACAAGAUCCAUGACCAAUUGUAAAUACUGUUACAAUUAUCUUGUUAAUUUCAUGUUCAUUAUAAUGUCAUUUUUUCAGUUAUAAUGCUACUAAGUGAAUAUUUUUUAUUUCAAAAUGUUACACUAAUAAAUUUAACAAAAAAAUUUAACAAUGUUAAUAAUUUAAGAUAAAAUUUAAAAUAUAAAAAAUAAAAAAGAUUAAAAUUUUAAAAAUAAAAAUACAAAAAAUAUAAAUUUAACUAAAAUCUAAAAUUCUGAAGAGUAGAAGGAGGUAUAUGUUAAACAUAAACUUGUCUAUGGGUCAGGUCGGGUCUUGAAAAUUUUUUAGGUAUUUUAGGUCUAUUUGAUAGGCUCAAGUCUAGUCUAGUCCACUAGUAUUAAAUUUUUUUACAUUAUUUUUUAAUAGUUUUUUUUAAAUGCAAUACAUUACAAACACUAAAAAAAUUAAAAUAAAUGUUUCUCAAUAAAUUAAAAAAUAAAUAAAUUAAUAGUAAAAUUAACAAUAAAAUAAAAAUUAUAAAAUAUCUAAACAUUAAUAAAAUAGUAAUAAUAUUUAAAUUUAUUUUUCGAAUUUAUAUUUUUAUUUAAACGUUUUCGGGGAAAGAGGAAUUAGGGGUAAAACUCUAAAACGGAAAAACUCAUGAAAAAGUAUCUUGAAAAGCUGACAGUGGGUGGGCCCAACCCAUUCAUGCGUUACAAUCUUAGUAGUAAAUAGUAAACUGAAAAUGUUGCCAUUUUGCAUUCGAUCUUCUUCUCUUUUUUUAUUUUUACUAUAUUGCCCAUCUGAUUCUCUAUUUCUUAUCUGUGUAAAAUUAAAGCAGCCAAUUCCAAUUAUUCAACAAAUCUUUUAAAAAACUAAAAAGAAAUUCAAACAAUUUCAUCUUUCUUUCUUCUUCUUCUUUAUGAAAAUCUAAAAUUUGCAGAGCUGGAUCGUUAUGGCUAUCAAAAUCCCAGCCUUAGGGUCAAUGUAAGUAUCUGUUUUUCCUUUCUAUCAAUUUUUUUUUUCAAAAAAAAAAGUUUAAAUCUAUUUCUUAAUUCUGUAGAUUACACUUUUAUCGUCUCAGUUACUGAUUGUUCCUUUUGGUAGGUUUUUAAUUUCUUCAUCGAAACCUAAAAUUUCUUGCUGGAAAUGAUGAAAUGUGAACAUGCAUGAUGCAAACUUAGUUAUUGAUUACUUCUUUAAUUUUCUAUUUUUAAAAUAAAAUAACUGUUGCGUUCUUCGUAAUUACUUUUUAUUUUUCCAAUGAAUUUGGUUGCAGAUACAUCGAGUCAUGCAGGAGGCAUGGUGUUGCACCGAGAACUGAAUUUUUAUCUGCGCUCUUUAAGGUUUGUCCCGAUACGUACUCAGAUUUUCAUGUUCGAAAAUGUUACGAAGUUGCAUGCAUAUUUGUUUGUUUCCAGUGCCUUGGAAUAAACUUUGAAUGUUGAGAAUUUAGACAAAAUGCGCUUGGAACUUCUGAUUAUUAGUCUAGGAGUCUCAAAUUGGCUUGCCAGGCUUGUGAUUCUUCUGAUCAUACAGUCAGGCUACCAGUGUAUUUCAAUUAGAGAGCUGAAAGUUCUUUACAGCUUCGUUGUCUUGUGAGAGUGGCAUUUUAGUUAUCCUGCUGAGAGUAGCAAGAAAUAUGUUUGGCAUCAUGCUUAAUAGUUCUAAGCUCUUUUUCUCAGACCUCUUUCAGGCGGUAGUAGGUAAGGAAGGAAUAAUUUCUGUUGUUCGGUAUAGUGCAGUUGAGAUGUUCUAGGAGUUGGAUUUUGGGGCUCAGUCUUAUUACAAAGUGUUUGAUUGUACAUAGUGCACCUUAUCAUCCAUCUAAAAGCUCAGGCGUGUUGUUUAUGCUUAGUUUAUCUAUAAUCAUGCAUGAAGUGAUGCUUCUAGGUGAAUCCUAACAAUGAAGGACUUAGUGAAGUGAAAAAGUUAUUUAGCUGGUUCUAUGGCUUACAAUUGAUCCAAAGACACAGAAAUUGGUUAGUUACAACUAAACAUGGUUAGUGAUGUUGAAUGAGUAAAGAAUACUCUAGAAACCCAAAGACCUUGAAGCACAUGCCUAAAAUGUUUGAUAAGUCUCGAAUAUGAAGAAAUAUCCAAAGCUCCCUAUAACUUCAACUCAGGUUAUUAACAUCCCAGUGUUUACGUAAUAAGCAUAGAAAUGUAAAAUGAAUAAUCCAAAUAAUGUAGUUCAAAGGACUGUUUUCUUCCUCUUUAUCAAAUGUGGCAAAUAGAGAUUGAUUUCUAUGGUUAAAUAUUGAUAAACACUGACUACAUCUUCAUAUCUCCUUGGAUUCCUUGAGCUGAAGAAACAUAAUUUUCCUUUGCUUAAAUAUUGAUAAACACUGACUACAUCUUCAUAUCUCCUUGGAUUCCUUGAGCUGAAGAAACAUAAUUUUCCUUUAUUUUUCAGUGUCUGUUAUAAUUAUUUUGCUGAUGUCUGUGCAAGUUAAAUUAGAUAAAUACCUUUGUCUUGGUUGAACUUUUCAGGCUGAUGUUAAAAAAUCCCGCCAUGAGUUAUGUGUACUGGAGAUUUUAUUGGACCAUGUGAAGGAUGUUGAUUUUCAUCCACUUCUUGAAGUGACUACAAGAAUUGGUGAUUCUGAGAUUGAAGCAGUUGAUGUGCUCAAUGAAUCAUCUUGUGCAUUGAAUGGAGAAUAUGCUUUAGUUCUGAUACGAUCUAUUGAUCAGAAACUUCGGAUAGUUGAUCUCCAGGAUUUGUCAUUUGGGAAGGACUUCUUGCGGUAUAAAACAGCGUUUAUUAUGCAUUAGUUUCCUUUAGUAAAGUAUCUGAUUUUAUANNNNNNNNNNNNNNNNNNNNNNNNNNNNNNNNNNNNNNNNNNNNNNNNNNNNNNNNNNNNNNNNNNNNNNNNNNNNNNNNNNNNNNNNNNNNNNNNNNNNNNNNNNNNNNNNNNNNNNNNNNNNNNNNNNNNNNNNNNNNNNNNNNNNNNNNNNNNNNNNNNNNNNNNNNNNNNNNNNNNNNNNNNNNNNNNNNNNNNNNNNNNNNNNNNNNNNNNNNNNNNNNNNNNNNNNNNNNNNNNNNNNNNNNNNNNNNNNNNNNNNNNNNNNNNNNNNNNNNNNNNNNNNNNNNNNNNNNNNNNNNNNNNNNNNNNNNNNNNNNNNNNNNNNNNNNNNNNNNNNNNNNNNNNNNNNNNNNNNNNNNNNNNNNNNNNNNNNNNNNNNNNNNNNNNNNNNNNNNNNNNNNNNNNNNNNNNNNNNNNNNNNNNNNNNNNNNNNNNNNNNNNNNNNNNNNNNNNNNNNNNNNNNNNNNNNNNNNNNNNNNNNNNNNNNNNNNNNNNNNCAUUUCAAAAUAAAGUAUUAUCUUAGACAUGGUUACCUCUCCCGGCAUAUUUUUCAAUUCUCGGUUUUUCAAUUUCACCAUUUAGAGAACUUGCCAAGAUCCAAAGCUAUAGUAGUUCAUGUAACUUUUUUGACAGUUGAGUCAUUUAAAAAUGUUUUGGUCAUUCCUUCUUGGUUUGCUCAUCUUCUUUUGGGUAUUCACAGGAGACAUAUGUCAAUUUUCCUUCUAGUUCAAGUGAUGAUGAAGAUUGGAGUGAUACCAUUGCACCAAGAAAAAGGAAGAGAUGUGCCGCAGGAGCCUCUUCAGCACCAGAAAAUGGAAAUGCUUCUUCAAGUAGGAGUCUGUCAAUAUCCGAAGGUUCAAAGCUGAAUCCAGAGCAUAAACUAAGGAGAAGCAUGCGCCACAACUCAAAUUUUAAGGAUACAAAUUUAUCCCCUGCUGAAUUAAAGGGUGGCACUUCUGGAUCGGGUUCAAGUGAUAAAAAAGCAGGUUCAUCAACACAUAGAAGACUCGGAGAAACUGAAAAGCAGGUAUAUAGGGUGUCUUAUACGACUGAUAAAUGACUCUGAACGAAAACCAAACAUUUGUAUAAUCAAAGCUUUUUUGCUUGUGAAAAAGUAGUGAUCAACUUGAUUAAUACUUCGUAUCUUUGUCUUCUAAAAAUAUAGUGAUUUAAUUUGGGUGGAUAUUUUGGUGUGUAGAGGCUUUGUGAAUCGUUCAGGGAAAAUCAGUAUCCUGAUCGAGCCACGAAAGAGAGAUUAGGUAAAGAGCUCGAUAUGACUUUCCGGCAGGUAUUACCUUUCUCUACUUGCAAUGCAACUAAAUGCCAUAUUUUCUGAACUAUCUCAUUUUCUUUUCUUGAGAAUCUUAAUGUUGUUGGUUUAAUUUCGGGGUUCUUAUUCGUGAAGGUCAGCAAAUGGUUUGAAAAUGCUCGUUGGAGCUUCAAUCAUCCAACAUCUAAUCAGGAAACCGCAGCUAAAAGAGUUGCAGAAAAUGCCAUAGCCUCUGCUUUUCUGAAGAAAAACUGAAUGAUCGGCAUCGUAGAGAGGGAGAAAGAGAGAAAUCAAAAUUGGUGAAAUGGAGAGGUAUUGAGACAGUUGAUUUAUAUAGCUUUAAAUUUAAUGAACAUUAUAGGAUAGGAAUAGAAGGAACUCUGUUGCUCGAGGAAAAUUUGCAGUGAAAUGUUGUGACCCUUAUCCAAAUAGAUAUUUAAAUGCUUUAUUUUUCAAAUCUCUGUUUUAAUUAAUUUUUUAUAUAGGUUUCUUUUUCAGGAUUUUUUUUUUUAAAGAAUGAAUGAAUGUAAAUAAGGGUGAUCGAGUGAAAAUUUUGCUAAUUCAGUUGAAUUUUAUUUUACCAUUUUAACUUGGUUUGAGUUAAAUUAAAAAAUUAAACAUGUUAGAUUAAAAUAUUAUUACAAUAUAACUAAUUUCAUGUUAAAUGACAAAUUUAAAAAAAAAUUUAAAGCAAAAUAAUAAUAAAAAAUAAUUUGGCAUGAUAAACUUGAAUCACUAAUUAACCUAUUUAGCUUCUAAAAGUAUUAUUUUAGAAAUUUUAGAACAUUUCAACUUUCUUUAUAUUCUUUAGUUUUUUCUUUAAAAUUAUAAUUUUUUAAAAAUAUAAUUUUUAGAACUUUUAUUAAUAUUUAGAAUCUUUAAAAUUAUUUUGAAUUUUUGAAAAUUAUUUUAACAUUUUUUGUAAUUUUUGUUGAGAGAUCAAUUUGUCCAUUUUAAAAUUAACAAAGACUAAAAAAAUACUUACACCAAUAUCUUAUUUGAGUUAUUUAAAAUUCAUCUCGACUCGAAUUUAAAACUUGAAUAACUCAAAAUUUGAAUAAAAGUUUAAAUAAAAAAAAAUCAAGUUCAUCAAUUUGAUAAAGAUUAUGCAUAUCAAAUUAAACUUUUUUCUUACUCCUGGAUUAGGUAAAGUCCUGAAGAAUAGACCACAACUUGGAAUUCAAAUUAAUGGUUCUUCAAUUGCAAUGCAAACGCGUCGGUCAAAUAGGUCAUGCCGCAAGAACAGCCUUUGCUCAUUUGAGCCACCCAUGUGAUGAGAGAAGCAUCAAAACCGAAAAGGCAUAAUUCACUAUGUGCAUAUGAAACGUAAAAAACAUAAGCACAAUAAUUAUAAAACAAAAUAUUAUGUUAAAGCUAUCAAUAACAUGUAGUCAAGCAUCACAAACCAAAGGAAUUGAUGAUCAACUGGAGUAAAAAUCUAAAUGUGCUUAACAAGGCGAUCAUAUAAGAGAAUUACAGGUUUCUUCCUUCCAGUAUCGUAAAUAGAAAACAUGUCUUUUUUUAUUGAGAUUUUUCUAAUCAGACGACUUAAGCCUCUGGUUCCCCACAGUAACAAACUAAUCUUCGACAUCCAAUUGCACUCUGCUGUGCUCAUCCAUGGCCUUUCAAGUACCUGCAAUGAAAAUUCGUGAAGUUAUCUGCACAAGGUUUUCGAUCACUUUGGAUAGAGCUGUUAGCCACAGCUUGCUUCAUUGAAUUUAUUUCAUGUGAACAAAUGUUAUUCGACCAAAAAUCAUAAUUCAAGAUUGAAUUUUACUUGCAUGCAAGAAACAGAAAGCACAAAUCUUAGAAACUCAAGUCUGAGAAAAAUACCCACAAACAAAGGAACAAAACUAUAGGAAGGUUCCCGAUAGUUGCAAUAAGCUAGCAAAGUGCUUUAAGUGAUCACCUUAAGCAAAAUCACAAGCAAAACAGUCACAUUGUUGUUCUAACUAACGAGUUUCAGGGGGUAGUGCAUUCAAUGAGUAUGAAUUCUUAAUGAACUGGAUAUCUAAUAUUUGAGGUCAGAGAACAAGGGCACUAAAUACCAUUGACGGUAUGCAACAUUGACAAGAUGUUCCAUUGACAACAUUCCAACCAUUUCCAACAUUUGACAGUAUGCAAUGCAAAAAUGACAUUCGGUUUAACUACAAGGUACUACACCACCAGUAUGAAUUUCUACAGCAUAUGAAUGAUCAAAUAUUUGAACAGCUAAAGUGAAACAAGGAACGGUUCCAAUUCUUCAUUUGUUUCAAAGAAUCUGUGUUUUGACACAUUAUGAGAAUUCAUCCUCUAAAUUUAAGAAAAAAUUUAGCAUAGCUGCGUUAGUAUCUGAUACCAAGCGCUUGAGUCUAACAUGGGUAAAGACUUACUCUUUUAUUGUAGUUUAACACAAAGAAAAAAGUUUGGUGCAAUAAUAAAAAGAUUACAUAUAUAUAAAUAUAUCCAGUAAUGAUAAGCAAGAAAACAUGACUUAAAUCUGAGUACAGUAGCAUCGCCAAGAAGAAUUAAAAGGGAACUGACCAUAUCUAGAUCACUACUCGUGUUGAGGAUCCUAGUUAUUAAAUGGCAUUUUAUAAUGAUUUAUUUAACAAGGAAAUGCUAGGUCUUUAGACCCAUUUCUUUUCUCAUAUAGCCUAUACAACAGCAGCAUAGAAUGACCAACAUAUUAGAGCUAGUUAUUAAGAGCCAAAAAGAGAAAAAAGAGAGGUUAAAACAUGUCAAGCAUAGGAGCAGUUAAAUCCAUGUGCCUUAGCUUAUAUCCAAGGGUUUAUUUUCUAUUUACUCUAUAUGAAUUAUUGAUUAAGCACAUUUGUCUAUAAUUUCAUAAUAAAAGGUAAAAUAAAAAUAAGAAAAAUAUAAACCUACAAUGUGGUACAAUUCUCUCUCCUUUAGCUGAUUGAAAGUCCACGUGCAUCACCCAUCUUUUCCAUUCCUCCCUAUAAAUCUCAAUCCCAUUUCCUUCUCAUUAACUGAAUUUAAAGAACUCAACUAACAAAUGCACCUAAUCUAUGCUUGUUUAGGUAAAUUUAACACAAAAGAUAUAAAGCAACUAUAAAGAAAAGCAAGUGUUUUUCUUUUGUCCUAACAAUGGCAUUCAUUAUAAAGCAAUUAUCAAAAAAAGGAAAAUAAUUGAAGUUAUUCAAGUUUCAAGAGAUGUGAAUAACAAACUUCCUUUUCCUUUUCAUGUACCCUAGAAAUAGCAAGACUCACAAAGAGACUACUAGCGAUCCUGACAAGUACGGCAGAAGGUACCGUGAGACAGCUCGCAACAAGCCCGCACGUUAACAGUCAGGUGUGACGUGAGACAAGCCGUAGGAACCAUGCUAUGCAGAGGCAAGAAUGAUUGGACACAUCCCAAUUCUCCCAAAUUUCUGAAACAAACAUAAGGCUAGCCAAAAUCAAUUUUGACAUCCAAGCUUCCUUUUGUCAAUGGGAAAAUGUCAGCAAACUAUGAAACUUUUUUUCAUACAAAAUAGUCUCUUGUAUGAUUCUCACUAAUCCAUACCGCCUUAGAAAUUUAAGAACCUAUUUAAUCUUGGGAAAAUUUAAGGCAAAAGGCAAGAAUAUUUUAGCUUCCCUUGAAAACAGAGAAAAUAGUAACUCUACUUUAAUCUAGUUUUCAGAUUUAAAAAUGAAAGUCCAAUUGUUAACAUCAUUAAAAUGAUUCCAUUAAGUUUAGGUUACAAAGGUUUUUUUUGGUUAUAUGAAUACCAAGCAAGUAUUUUUUUUUUUAAUUUCAAAAUGUCACACAAUGGAAUUUAACAGAAGCAUUUUAACUGUUUUGACAACUGGACUUCAAUUUUGAAAUCUGAAAAGUAGAGAUACUAAAUUCCAAAUGUACAAAAAGUAAAGGGACCUGGAGCAUAUUUUAACCUAAUUGAAUAUAACAAGAAUAAAGUCAUCAGUAAAAUUACUCUGCCAAAUCCCAAAUAAUGAAGAUUGUAAAUAAUUUCAAAAACACAUCAUGAAUUGGAUAUCGCAGUCUAUAAAUCUCCACUAACAGACAUUUCUAAUAAUUUAUAGUAAUAAAAAAAGAUGAAAAGAAAACAAUGUUGACUGGAAAAUAAGCAAUUUUGCGUUUCUUAUCUUUCGUUUCAUCCACUAAGGAGUCAAAAGAGGUGUUUAAAACAAUGACCUGGAAGGAGCAUAAGAGAGGCGGCGGGACUGGUGGCGAGGAGCAGAGGAAACCGAGGGACGUAGCCGGGGUAGCGGUGGAGGGGAGCGGAGUGAAGGAGCCCUCGCGGCAGAGAUGACAGAGCGAGACAAGGAUCCUGCACUUCGCCAAGCCAUUUUCACAGUGAAGAUUGAAGCGUUUCGGUAAGAGAGAAGCUGAAUAAAGUAGUGAUUUGCGUAAAGGUUUUGGUUAGGGUUUAAGGGGUGUGCCUGUAUCCAUGAUUCGGGUCGGAUCCUUUUCGGAUGGGUCUAUGUAUGUAGUCUUUUAAGCCCGGCCCAUUCAGAAAUAUGUGUUAUAGAGUUUAACUAAAUUUAGAGUCCGUUUAUUUACAUGUAAAAAAUUUUAUAGAAAAUAUUUUUUACAUUUUAUUGUGUUUGUUUUAUAGAAAAUAGUUUGUUUAAUGGAAAAUAAGUUACAAGUCAAGGUAAAAUAAUAAGCCUUUUUCCUGUAAAUUUUUCGGAAAAGAGCUGUCUAUAAAUAAUUUUUUUUUAUAAAAAUUAACUUAAAUCAAGCUUAAUAUUAUUAUAUUAAUAAUAAAUUUUAUUUUUAUUUUUAAAAAUAUGUAAAAUAUUAUAUUUUUCAAUGUUAUUAAACAUAUAUAUUUUAUUAUUUAUAUUUAGUCUUAUAAUAAAUUAUUAAUAUAAUAAAUAUAAUUUAUUAUUUUAAUAAAUUAUUUAAUAUUUUAAUUUUAUUUUAAUAAUAAAUUUUAAAAUAAAAAAUUAAAUAAUAUUAUUCAAAUAUUAUUUAAAAUAUUCAAUUAUUAAUAUUUUAAUAAUAAAUAUUUAUUAUAAUUAUAAAUAUAUUAAUAAUAAAUGUUUUGUAGUAUAAAGGUUAAAAUAUGUCAUAAGUCUAUGUACACUUUACAGAUUUGUAAUUUAGUCUUUGUACUUUUAUUUUCAAGAAUUUAGUCCCUUUACUUUUCAAAUUUAAAAAUCAAGUCUAAUUGUUGUCAUCGUUAAUUUUUUUUUGUCAAUUUUGUUGAUGUCACAUUUUUAAAUAAAAAAAUACUUACUUAGUAGUUAUGUAAUUAAAAAAUGACGUUGUAAUGAAUCUAAAUUUAACAGAAUAUUUUUAAAAUAUGCAAAAAUAAUGUAAAAUAUAAAAUUAUAGAUAAAAGUAAAUUCAAUUAAACAAUGAAAAAUAAGAAAAUUUCAAAUGUAUGUUUGUUUAAUUGAAAAUAACUUUUAUGAAAUAUUUUUAAGAAAUCUACCAAAUAACAGAAAAUAUUUUACACAGAUUCAUCCAAACACCAGAAAAUAUUAGCUUUUCUAAUAAAGUAAAUCAUUUUCCAGAAAUCAUUUUCUGGAAAUCAUUUUCAGUGAAACAAACGCAGCCUUAUUUGAAAAUAUGCUAUUUUUUAAUAUCUUUAUUUAUUAAAAUUUUAAAAUACAUUAAAAUUUUCAAAAUUUACAAUAUAGUACUAUAUUUUUAAUUUUCAUGUAAUAUAAAUUAUAUAAUAUGUAAAAUAAAAUAAAAUAAUAACAAGAUAAAUAAAAUAUUAUUAUAAACCAAAGACAAACCUAUUUUCUAAUGGGUUUAAUUCUUUUUCUAUACACUUUUUGCUUUUUUUUUAUAUAGAGCCUAAAAUUAUUCAUAAUCUCAUAUACUCGAAUUCACGAUCUCAUGUACUGACAAUAGUACUAAUACCAAUCGAGUUAACAUUCAAUCGGUUUUUCUAUACUAUUUUUUAGUAUAUUAAAAUUUUCUAAAUCUUCUCAAAUGUUAAAUUAGUUAACAAAUAUAUUAAAUUAAUAAAGGAGCUUAGAUGCAUAAUUUGACUCUUAAACAAAAUUACAAAACUAACUUAAAAGAAGUACGAAAUUAUUGAAAAAUUAAAGAAAAUCUUGUGAACAACCCAAGGCUUAAAUUACUUGGGCCCAAAUCUAUUAGCAUAUGUUAACCAUUGUAGGAAUCUCCCAGCCGAAGUGUGCUAAACAUUAUUUCUUUGUAUAUGAGGACAUGGAUUCCAAUAUUUGGCGGAGAAAGUGUAGCCAUGGAUGGACUUGCAUAUUAAUAAUCUAUAGAGAGAAGUCAUAAAAAUACAACUCAUUUGCUAUUUGAUUCUUUGGUUGUAAUUAAUAAUAUAUCAUAAUUUAUUAUGAUAACAUUCGUUACAUUUAUAAUAAUAAUAAAUGAUAAUAUAAAAAAAUGUAUUUAAAAUCAAAAUUUAAAUCUUAAAAAUCAAAGCUUUAAAGGUUAGAUUUUAGUAAUCCGUGUGAUACGAUGCAAUUGUGCUAGCCAAGGAAGACCUCUACUAUAAAUUAGUUGUUUAUUACUUCAAUUUAUACACAAAGAAAGAAAGUUACAUAUAAAAAGGUGGAGUCUGGAUGAACGGUUGGGUUUUAAUUUGUUUUUUGUUCUGUACUACAAUAUUAUUAUAAUAUUUAAUCUCACCACUAUUAUUAUUUUUACACUAAUUACAAGUAAAAUGCGACAAAUGAACCGAAAGGUUCACUAUAAUUUUUACAAGCUUUUAAGAUCUCUAUUUUAUUUUCCGGGCGGGAUUAAUGGCAAAUCAACUUCAUCACACCAUUCAACACACCUUGUUUCCACAUAAGAACUCCUCACAUUAUUAGGCCAAUAACUCAACCAAACUUCACCUCCAAUUCUCCAUUUCAGAACACUCCCUUCCAUGUCCCUGUUCAAUCUCCAUCCUACACCUUCUCCAUAAUCAUCUCCUGCAAAUACCAAUCCACCAGCUUUGGUAAAUGGCCUGUUAGCUCCAUAGUACCUAUGCUGGAAACCAUGGCUGCUGCCGUUGCUAUUUUGAUCGAACGAUUUCCACGUUGCGAUUUCGUGGCCCGUCACGUUGUCGCAUAGCACCGCGUCGAACACCGCGGCGUUCCCUUCCGCGUCUUGAUCCCACCUCCAGUUUUUCAUCUUGUUCUUCAUGGAAACCCUUGCUCUUGCUUUAACAUGGGAGGAAUCCUUUGAAUAUUUCCCGAAUCUCCCUUUAAGGAUCCUUUGUGUUUCGACUUCGUUUUCACCAUUGUUCGUGGACCGACCCAAGGUUAACCCGGACACGUACGUUGACCCGACUUCCGGUCCGACCCAAACUCGGAUCCUCGACGGGAAGUGUUUCUCGUUCAAGAAAUCAUCCAUUUCGUCGUUUUUUUUGCUGAACCCUAGUCUGGCCACGUGGAAGCGUAAGUUAUCGACACGUGCGUUCACUUGAAUGUACCCAUCAUGGAAUCCAAUGGUGUAUUCCAAUUGAAUGACGGCCUCGAGCUGCUGGUGUGCGAGUGCGUACCUUAACAGUGAACCCUUUGCUCCGGUGGCCGGAAAUUGGCUUUUCUGAUCACUUGAAUGUAAUAGCUUCAUUGCAUUAACCGGUGCAUACCCUUUCAAGGUCCAAAAUCCAUGAGCCUCGGUUGCAUAUGAAAAUCCCAAGUGCUGCUGCUGCCCUUUUAAAGGAGUUAUUAGCGUUUUUAAUCCAACGCUGAGUUCACUUAAAAUGAUCCAUUUGGUCAACAUGUACCCCAAGGUUCGCAUGAAACACAGCUCGGUGUCGACACCAAUGGAGACCAGAAAGGUCCUCAGCACGGGGACUUGUUUAAACGUUAAUGCUUCGAUGUUUGGACCUAGUAAGUAUUGGAAAUAGAAAGACCCGAUUUCACUAGGAGCAUCCCAAGAACAUAGCCAAAACAAGCGUGUGAGAAGGACAAGGUUAAAGAAACUCGAGAAUGAUUCGGGUGAGUGAGACUCAAUGAUCCAAGAAAUGGGUUCGGGUUUGAGUUUUUGAAGCUGAGACCUCGGGCAAAUGGUGUUGGGCAUUGCUGGUGAACGGCUGAUGGUUUCUUGGAGAAGCUGAAGUACUAAAGGGAGGAAAGGUUGCUCUGAAGAUAGAGAACAGGGGUCAGAGACCCAAAGAGGUGAAGAUUGGAACCCUUGGAAGCUUAUUGUGAAGGUUAUACAGACCUCUGAAUCGGACCCCAUGGUACGCUCGGCUUUGAGUUGGAUCGAACGAGUUGAGCUUGAGUCGCCUUCCUCAGAACUCGCCAUUGUAAAGGCGAGCGGUGGAUGUGGGUCUGAUUCACCCCAAUCGUCAUUGUUAGGAGGCUCACAUAUCCAAGACCAAAUGUCCAUUAUGUUUGCUUGGUGGGUUUCAGCCUCUGGGAUAUCAAAAGAUUGGAGACCUAUUGUUUCGUUUUAUAGAGAGAGAUUCAUGAUGUUGUUAGGAAUCGGGUAAAUUGCACUUGAAGUCCCUUAUGGUGUAGAUUUUAAAUUGCUUUCUAAAUUUUAAAUGUUUAUAUUAGUAUCAUAUCAAUCAAAUUCUUCCAUAAGUCUAUUGUCAUAUUAGAUGUUAAAUUCUAAAUACAUAUAGACUUGUUGCAUAAAUAGUUUGGAUAUAACGUUUAGAAAAAAAAAAAGAGUAUUUAAAAUUUGGAAGAGUUAUUUUUCUUUAACAUGGUAGAUCAUGUGGUAAGUAUCAUAUUUAAAGUUUAAUUCAUGUAUUUUAAAUAUACUUCAUGUGUGGAGAAACCAAGAAUUAUGUGAUGAGAACCGAGAUAAAAUAAAAAAAAUUUGGGGGCAUAGCUAAAGUAACUUGUAUUGAAAUGACUUAAAUUGAAUUUUAAACUUUUGAUAAGAGUAAAAAAUGCAAAUUAUUUUUAUUUAAUAAAGAAGCUAAAAGAGAUUAACAAUUGGAAGAACUAAGGUUGCAAAUGUACCAUUCAGCCUAAGGCCCUUGCCUCCACCUUAGGGUAAAAUCUAGGCUGACAAGAAGACCUUAUUGCAAUAAGUAUUAAUACUCUGAGAUGUAUGAUGCAAUUAUCCCUUAAAAUUUUAAGGAAAGAAUGAGUGAUGGUAGAUUCGCCAACUUGCAAGUAAAUGUAAGCCAUGAAAAUCACCAAUGAAAGAACUGCCUGGAAUUAAACUGGUGGUGCUAAGUUGUUUGGUCGUUAUGUCUUAUUUAAUACUAGUAUACUAUAGCGCUGAUUUUUCAUUCACUCCCUUUCAUUUAUUUCAAUUUCUGGCUUUUGACGGCCUGAUAAGGAAAGCAAUGGUGAUUUUGCAAAGGACAAUACGUUGCAGAUCCCGACGCCGUCGUUUAACGUUUUAUGGAUGUAUCGACCUAGACGUGUCAUGUUCAAAGGCGGAACUGGACAAGUUUACAUGUCUGAAUUUGAAUCACACAAAAAAGAAAAAAAAAAUCCGGGGUCGUUUAAUGUCUGUUCUUUCUUAUCCUAUCAAUGCUUAUGAAUAUCUUUGAGAAUCAUAGGUUAACAACAAGUGAUUGAAACCCUAGCAACGAAAUGAAAACAUAACCAAAACAUACAAACACGUAAUAAGGCCAUGUAGGCCACCCUGGCCAUGCAUUUAGUUUGUUUUGUAUCCCCACUAGUGAGAGCAAUGUCUGAGUGGUCCUUUAACCUAGAUGAGCCCCACAAGCUGUCACCAUUUUUUCAAUGAGUAAAUUUAUGUAGGGGAUCCCUCUAGGCUUUACCAUAAAGGAUGUUUUUCCUUAAAGCAAUAUUUCUUUCCCAACAUUUCUCCAAUAAGCAAAUUUGUUGGGUUGGAUAAAGCUUCCAUUCUCGCUUGCCUAGUAGAGGUUGGUUUACCCCACUCUUUCUUUUAAAACAUAGACCACUUCUGGUUUUAGGGACACAUAGUUUGUCUCAACUCUUGAGUUGUAGUAUCCAUUUUAUCAUAGAUAGUGUUAGAAACGAGAUAGGUGAUAAAUUAGAAUUUUUAUUAUCUUUAAAUUGAAUUAUAAAUUUUUUGAGAAUAGGGAGAGGCUUUGUCUACCCUAAUUAAAUUUCAUGGCCUAAAGAAAACCUCAAUCAGCUCAAUUUAGAUUGUCCAGUCCAAAUAAAAAAUUAAUUAAACAAAAAGAGAUAAAAGAUCAAAAUUAUAUAUUAACUUUGAUUCAAUAUGUAAUAUCAUAUAUAAACUUUGAUUUGUGCGAUUUUAUAUAUGAAAUUUUGGUUUCAUAAAUCACUGACAACAUUAUCAAAUUAGUACUAUUUUACGUUGAUAUAUUGCAUACACAAACAAUCAUAUUAAUCCAAUAUGAAAAUAAAAGUAUGCAUUCAUUUCUUUAAACAUGCACAGUUGAACAAAAAUAAAAAUUUCAUGUAUACAUAUAAACAACAAUUCAAGUUUCAUAUGUAUAAUUGUACCAAAUCAAAGUUCAAGUAUCAAAUUGCAUAUUAGACCAAAAUUCAUGUAUAAAUUUAAUAUUUAUCCAUUAAAAAAACAAAUUCUAAACUAAACUAACUAAAAGUAGAGUAUGUUGUUCGCAUUAUGUCCAGCGCAUUUACCUUGAAUGAGCAAUCAGAAAACCAAAUCUUUGAUGAAAAAAAUGUAAUAGAAUUUGAUCAUAAAACCUUUUAAAUUCAGUGGUAUGAACAAGGUCUCCUUUUGUUUGGUUUUAAAUCCAAAGGAAACCAAAAUAAUAAUAUAAAGAAGAUGAAGAAAUAAUAUAAGAACGUAGCUUUAAAAAGUAAUAGAAAUAAUGGUUUUCUUGAAAAAAGAAAGGAAUAUAGUUUUGGUAACUAAAGUCUCAAUCGGGUCCCUAUUUUCUUUUCUUGAAAAAAGACCCUUGACUUGACAUCAGGGCUUAGGGCGUUCAUGGGACGUAUACCAAAGGCUACUGCUUCAAGGUUCAAAAAAAAAUUGUAUAAAAUUAUAAUUCUACGUCAUCUUUAUUCUUUUUUAAUAGGAGAAUGAUAAAUCAUAUUUUUCCUCUUGAUUUUCAGUAUUUUUAAUUAGAUUUGAAUUAUUUUAGGAGGAAAAAGUUAAAAAUUAAGACAAAAAAUCUGAUUUGUCAUUCUCCUAUUGCAAAGGGAUAAGAAUGAUGUAGAAUCACAGUUUUAUACAAUCUCUCAUUCUGCUUCAAUCUCUUUGUAAACUUAAAUUAUCCCUAAUAUUUAAAACAUUCUAAUUAAAAUUUUUAAGUAUUAACAUCGUGUUAAUUAGGUCUUUUUAUCGGCCAAAUGUAAUUUAGUUGAUAAGUAUCAAAUCGGAUAUGAUUUGAAGCAUAUUUAAAACAAGUAGAUCAAUUUUAAAUAGGUUACUUAUUAAGAAAAAAAACAGUGUUAUUAAAUUUAGGAGGAUUAUUUCUUUCUUUUAACAUAUUACAGGUUGUUCAUGCGAUAGAUAUACAUAAAUUUAAAAUUUGAUCCGUGUAUUCUAAAUGUGCUUCAUAUCAAAUUUGAAUUAACAUUUAACACCUAAGUUGAUGGUUAAAUUGACGAACUGAUUGAUACAAUAUUGAUGAUACUUUAAGGAUUUAAUUAGAAUAUUUCCAACUUUAAAAACUAAUUUGAAGUUUAUAUCAUAUCGUAGGAGCAUUUAGUACAAUUAAUUUUUUUUCAUUUUUAAUUUUAAAUAAAUAUAGAUUAAAUAAGAACUAAGAUAUAGAUGGAGAAUGGGGAUAGCUAGGAACUUUUGAAAAAGGUUGUUUGGUAUAUUUUAUGUUGGUCUUGUCGUAUAUAUUUAGAUUUUGUGGCUGUUUUUUUUUUAAUGUCAUUUUUAAAGUUUGAAUUUAUAUUCUUUUCUUAAGAGUAUAAUAUAUCUUACUAUUAUGCCCAACACUUGUUGAUAAGUAUUUUUAAAAUUUAGACAUGAUUCCUACUAAUAAUUUUGAUGAACCAUUAUUUCUAUAAUUUUUUUUUAUAAGAGACAACAAAUUUUACUUUACAUUUGUAUAUACAUCACAAAUUCAAUAAGAUUAUUUUUGUUGCAUUGGUAUCAGAAAUACUUAGAAGUUCCCAUAUUAAAAAUUAAGAGGUAAAUUCAAAUAUAUAUUUUCUAAAAAAUAAUGAGAUAUGAAACAAAGAGAUCUCUUUGAGUAAUUGAAAUUGAAAAAAAAAAUGGUGGUUAAUGUGGAUUCUCUCAGGAGCUUUGAACGAUUGGGGUUGCCGCUGUCGGUGGACCUUGAAAAAGCCACUAACAGGGUAAAAAAUAGAGAGGAUAUAGUGGAGGUAAAUAAGAUGGAACAAGAAAUUUGAAAGCUACUUUCAAAGAGAAGUUCAUGAGCAACUCAAAGGAAUCUGAUGCGGAGGAAAAUGGUGAAGAGAAUGGUGAGAUCUCUCUUAUUGAAGAUGAUGUUUAGGUUUUAAUGAAGGGCUAAUAUCCUGAGAUCAAUUUCUCUGAACGAGUGCAUGAGUUGACUGAUCGGAGUAUGAGUCUUACUAUUAUUGUAACACUCUUCACCAUUCUCUGUCACCAGAUUAGGGUUACAAGAUGCUAAAAUGCAUAACAAAAGAAAAUUGUGCUAUAUCAAUUCAUAUUUUCUCUAAACAAUAAUCAUACAUCAGUCAUGUAAUUAAAAACAUGUCAUUCAUACAUUAUUGGGGUUAAAUCGGGCUUAAGGAAGCUCUAAAACAAUUUCAGAACACAGCAAUGAUUAAUUUGAAACAUUUCAAAAAAUUUUGACAAAAAUACAAAAUAGGGACAGGUUGAGGCUGUGUGGAGUUGAACCACCUAGUUGUGUCCCCAAACCAUGUAAUGUGUGUGUCUUUGUUUGUGGUAUUACGCAAGGAGAGAAAUUGAAGUCAUGGUUAAAUAAGCCUCUUAUGUUGAUUCCUAAGGUUGAGGGAUCAACGAUGUUUCAACAAUUUUGACCAAUCAAUUUAUGUACGAUUAUAUAUAAAGUUGUGACAAAAAUAAUUGUAUACCAACUUAAAUCAUUGUAUAAAGUUGUGACGAAAGUAUUGUGAAUCAAAUUAAACCACUCUUACCUUUAUGGAUCUCUUCCAAUUAGUGAAGUUUUGUUUCAGGAAGAUGCAAAACUAACAACAUCAUCAUUGGUCAAGAGGUAAUUCAUUUAAUGAGAAAAAGAAUAGAAAAUAAAGGGCGGAUGGCUAUUAAAGUUGAUAUGGAAAAAGUGUAUGAUAGAUUAGACUUGGUUUUAUUCAAUAAUGGAGUUCCUUUUCAUUUAAGCAAUAUCAUAAUGCACUGUGUUACCUCAACUGCUAUGCAAAUAUUAUGGAAUGGUAGUUUGAUUGAGAAAUUUCUUCUGACAGGGUGACCCUUUAUCCUUUAUAUUUUUGUUUUAUGUAUGGAAAGGUUAACUAAUUUGAUAUCCCAAGCAGUUUCUGUUAAAAAAUAAACCGAUUUUCAAAGUCAAAAAUUGCAGCGAAAGAAUUUCUAUCAAAAUUGGCCUAUAGAAAUGAUAAAGUUUAUCAAGCUGGAAAUUUCAUGAAAAGUCAAGGAUGAUGGCAGCAGCUUUAAAAGAAAUUAGCUUGUAAGGUGGAUAGCAAGCUGUCAAGAAAUUGGUUUGCAACUUGGCUUAUUAGCCUGUACAAUGGAUAAGUAGUAUCAUUUAUGAUAUACUUAAGCGAUAAAACAAUCAUUAAGGCGAUAAACUAUGUAUAUAUAUAUAUGUAUGUUUAGUUCAUGUGUGAGUGCUGGAAAAUGUUAGUGAGUUUGAGAGAAAAAAAAAAAAAGAGUGUUGUGAGUUGUAGAAGGAAAAACUAGCAGCAGUUAGUAUAGAGAGAAAAAGAAAAAGAGAGUUUGUAUUGUAUUUAUUUGUAUAUAAUAAAAAAAUAGUAUUUGAUUUAUUUUUAUUACGCUUCCAGCAAGUCGUAUCAGAGCUAGGUUCGUGUUGACGUCACAACGGAAAACAUGAUUCAACCGCAGAUUUCGAAAUUAACAAAGACAAAUUAUGGAAACUAGAGCAUCCAGAUGAGAGCUUUGCUCGGUUCUCAAGAUUUUUGGGACGUUGUCAAAGAAUGAUAUGUCGAUCCCGAAAAUAUAACUACCGAAGCGACUUUGACAAACAAAGAAAAAAGAAUAUUGAAAUAAGCUCGUAAAAAGGAUAAGAGGGCGCUGUUCUUUAUUUUUCAAGGUGUUGAUGAAUCGACCUUUGAAAAAAUUUCAGAUGCGAAGACAUCAAAAGAAGAAUGGGGAAUUUUGCAAAAAUCCCUUCAAGGAGCGGAAAAAGCCAAAAAGGUAGGUUUACAAACCCUUAGAGCUGAAUUUGAGACGUUGAAAAUGAAACCUUCAGAAAUGUUGAUGAAUAUGUCAUUCGAAUGAAAGCAAUGGUAAAUGAAAUGAAAAAAAAUGGAGAAACACUUGAUGAUGUCAGAGUAAUGGAAAAAAUUUUGCGGUCAUUAACACGCAAAUUUGAUUAUAUGGUGGUUGCCAUUGAAGGGUCAAAAGAUUUAUCACAAAUAUCAAUCAACGAACUUGUGGGUUCCCUUCAAGCCCAUAAGCAUAAAAUGAAGCAAAAUGAUGAUACUGAAAAUUCGGACCAAGUCUUGCAAAACAAGUUGUCCUUCAACGAAAGUGGAGCUGGGGAUAACUUUGGACAAAGUACAAGUAAUCGUGGAGGAUACCGUGGAGGAUAUAGAGGCAGAAAUAGAGGUGGACGAGGAACACAUGGACGAGACGAUCAAUCAUAUGGUAAAGUCCAAACAAGUGAAGAAUAUCAAACAUCAAGUCGUGGAUAAGGAGCUCGAUGCCUAGGUCGAGGCAGAGGUAAAUUUCAAUAAAGAAAUAAAUCUCAGGUAUAAUGUUAUAAUUGAAAUAAAUAUGACCAUUAUAGUUACGAGUAUAAAUUAAAUCCCAAGAUGGAGGAGAGAAAUCAUGUAACAGUAGCUAAAGAAGAAGAAAACGUGGAAUCUAGUGUAUUCCUCACUUAUAAAGAAAGUGAAAAAUUAAGAAAAAAUAUUUGAUAUCUUGAUAAUUGCUCCAGCAAUCACAUGUGUGGCCGAAAGGACUUAUUUUCAGAGUUGGAUGAGAAUAUUCAUGGCUAUAAAAUGGACCUUUAGCAGCACUUUUUUCACAAACGCCGCUAAAAACAUUAGCUUUAAAAAAAUUUAUUUUAAUUAAAUAAUAUUUAUUUCUAUGAUAAAUAUUAUAUUAUGUUUAAUUUUUAAAUUUUGAACUUUAAAUUAUAUACUUUUAAGGAUAAAUAAAAAAUAUUAAUUAAAUUAAAUUUUCUAUUAAAAUUUAAACUUCAAAACUAAAUAUAAAAUUAAUGAAUUUAAAUUAACGAAACAAGAACAUUGAUCAAGUUAAAAAAUAAAAAAGACAAUGAAGAAAUUAAGGGUCAAACAUUAGCUCCAAUAAAUGUUCAAAAUAUAAGACAGCCACCUUCAAAUAGAAAUUAAAUAACAACUAAAGCAUCCAAUGGAACAUAAUUUCACUCUUCAUCACUAAAUGUUUCCUCAUAAACAUGACUUUAUCCAAAACAAAACCUCAUACCAUUACAAAUUGCCUUUUAAGCAGAAGCUACUGCAACCUUCUUUCUUGGUGCUGCUUUAGUAGCUAUACAUCACCCCCAAUAAAAAAUAAGAACAUUUUGAAAGAAAAAAUAAAAUCCAAAAUUUCUUACAGGAACAGAAAUACGCAAUGGAACUAAAAUCAGAAUGCAAUGAGCCUAAGGACAUUAGCAUUUUCCUACCUUCCCUGAAACCUGUCUUGAACCUACGAGGAACGUGGCGAAGAUACCUCUAUACACCGGUGAUGGAGAUGUUAGCCUCAUCUAAUUAAAACCAACAGCUAGAAACACAAAUAAUCACACAAGUUAAAAAACCCAAAAUAAGUACUUAAACACUUCAAUUUGCAACAUUUAAGCACUUCAAUUUACAACAUUUAAACACUUCAAUUUGCAGCAUUUAAACACUUCAAUUUGCAGCACUUUAACAUCUCAAUUACCAACAUUUAUACACCUCAAUUACAGCGAUAAAACAUCUCAAUGUCCAGCAACUAAACACUUCAAUUUGCAGUACUUAAACACUUCAAUUUGCAACAUUUAAGCCCUUCAAUUUACAGCAUUUAAACACUUCAAUUUACAGCAUUCAAACACUUCAAUUUGUAGCACUUUAACACUUCAAUUUACAGCAUUCAAACACUUCAAUUUGUAGCACUUUAACACUUCAAUUUACAGCAUUUCAACACUUCAAUUUACAGCAUUCAAACACUUCAAUUUGCAGCACUUUAACACUUCAAUUUACAGCAUUAAAACACUUCAAUUUGCAGCACUUUAACAUUUCAAUUAACAACAUUUAAACACUACAAUUUACAGCAUUCAAACACUUCAAUUUGCAGCACUUUAACACUUCAAUUUACAGCAUUAAAACACUUCAAUUUGCAGCACUUUAACAUUUCAAUUAACAACAUUUAUACACCUCAAUUACAACAAUAAAACAUCUCAAUUUCCAGCAACUAAACACUUCAAUUUGCAGUACUUAAACACUUCAAUUUGCAACAUUUACUACUAAUAUAUAAUUUUAGGAUUCAUUAACCAAGAAAAGGAAGGAAAAGUAUUCUUACUGCCAUGGAAUAUCGCCUGCAGUCAGCCAUUCUCCUUCUUUGUCCUGGUAGGUGAGAAUAUAAUCAUCUUCAUCACAUUUCUUGUCUGUUCAUGACAUGAAAAAGAAAAAAGCAAGCUAAAUAUUGAGAUUUUUGGUAUUCUUUUAUCUUUUGAGGAAUUUAUGUAUAUAAUCAAUGACUUUACCUUUGGCAAACAUGGUGAUCAAGGAGUGAUUUAAAAUAUAAAUCAUGAAAAUCUUUUACACUAAGGAAAAUAAUGUUUUAGUAUAUAUAUUGUUGGAGUGAUUUAAACCUUUUUGGAUCUUAUGCGUUUAAAGACAGAAUCAAGUUGUUGCUCCAAAUUUUGAAGCUCUCUAAGACUCAAAUUCUAGAUAUCUUCUCCUUCGUAAUGCCUAGAAAUAUAAUUAAUUAUUUAUUAAAAGAGAAAGAUGCUUGCCUUGAAUGUAUCUGAAAUUUGAAGCCAUUGGGGGUACCUCAGGUUUCUUUGUAAAGUCUGCAUUAAGUUUUGCAUGUUCCCAGCUCUAGUUUCCCUGUAAAAGAACAUAUAUGUUCUUUCUUGGUGCUGCUUCAGUACCUAUACAUCACCCCCAAUAAAAAAUAAGAACAUUUUGAAAGAAAAAAAAAACCCAAAAUUUUGUAUUAGAUCCCAAAUCCACUGAAUACUACUUCAAAAUUCAUGCUUUUUUAUGCAUAAUGCACAUGUAAAAGUACAACUAGAAGCAGUAGUUUAAAAUUAAGUCGUAAAGUAAUCCCCCAGUAGUUAUAAAGAAAUAUCACUGGCCAUGGAACUAAAAUGACAUUCAUCACCUUUAACAGCUUGUGCCAUAAAUCUUUUAUGGAGUGCAAGUAGAAAAACAGCCACAUCAUGUAUCAUUUAUCAUAGAUAUGUGCACACACACAAAUCAGAGUGUAAGUGCUGGAAAAUUUUUUAAAACCUUACAUUAUCAAAUUAGAACUAAUUAAACAAAUAUAGAAAAGAAAAUAAAUAAUCGUAAAAUACGGGGCUGGCUUCAUUAACUAUCUCACCUUGAUUCAUGAGGGUGCCCACAUCACCUCAUCAUGAAAAAUUAUAUUUAUUAAAUAAUUUACCUUGUUUUAUCUGAUAGAAUCAUAGUUCACAAUAGUGCAAUGCUGAUCAUAUCCAUCACUUCAUCUAUGUUGCAAUCUGAGCCAAUCCUUGUAUCAACAAAUUCCAACAAGUUCCCAUUCUCCUUCAAAACAUGAGCCUAUAAAACAUACAAAUUUAAUUGCCACAUUCAAAUUCAUUGAUAAAAAAAUGAAACUCAAACUGAAAAAUGCAUAAACUUUCUUUGUCAUGUAUAUAAAGUACUUGUGUUUGGUAUAUGUGAUAUGUGUUUGACAUUCUAUAGUAUAAUCCUUCAUAUGUAUAAUAGCUUUUAUUAAAAGGUUUCCAAUGAACCCUUGAAGAGUAGGACCAUAUGAAUUCCUUCAUUAAGGACUAUCAGUUAAAAAUGCCAAAAAGUGGCCAACAGACACCAGUUGUUCAGGUUCAGCUAUUAAUCCCAGCCUAACAUCACUUGAUAGCAAGCUAAAAGGAUUAAACAUACACCAAAUACGUAAUGAGCUAAUGGUCCAAGUCUGUCACCAGGAAACUAUAGUGUUACCCAUAACUACAAAUGAAUUUCCACAUGCCAACAUUCUAGAAACUCACACGCAUGACCUGUUUCCUUCUAAAAGAUAUAAAAUUAAUUCAAUAAUUAAGUGGAAAAGGGCUCUUUAGCUCGAGGAAUGUCAAGCUUCUGAAACAUGACAUGAGGAACGCCCUUAAACACUGAAAUACAAGUUGACAGCUAAGCACAUGUUGUAGCAGGAUUCAUCAAUCAAAUGUGCUAGCAGUCUUCUAGCAUAGGCUCGAACAGAAACAUUCAAGAACUUUACAUGAAAAUUCAACAAUGGAAUUAGAUUAAUAAAAGACUCCUAUGCAACAACAGUAUCAAAGAGAGAGCUUUUUUCAUUUAAAAGAAUGCCUGGCUAACAUUUCUAAAGCAAACUUAAACAACUGUCCAAAUCAUGAUGGUAACCAUGUCCUCCAUGAUUAUCAUUUUUUAACUCUCAUCAAUAUAAGUUUUUUGCUCUACACCUCUUCACAGACAAUCUAGUCUCAACUUCCAGGUACAUCAAUAAUUUAUGAUAAAACAGGCAGAACAUGAGAAAUAUAAAUCACACAUAAAUUUGUACAUCCAUGAUGCUUAUCUAAUCUAAAAUGUAAGUGCUAUUCAGGAUGCAUAUAUAUAUAUCAAUAUAAAUGAAAGAAAUAUACUCAUGCAACAUAUAGCUAUACUAAAUCCUUGACCUUCCAUAUAAUCAAAAUGAAACAAUUUAAAUAUCUACAAAAAAAAGGGGGGGUGGGAGUAGGGUAACAUGGCAAAGUUGAUAAUCUACAAUGAGAUCAACUUAGACUAAAUGUUUAUUUUUAAUGCUAUCAAAUUCCUUAUAUCAUAAACAAGCAGACCCUUCAUCAAAAUAAACUUUUUUCUUAGUCCAUUCUCUUAUAAAGUUUUCCAUUUUACUUUCUAGUUUCUUUUGAGCUUGAUCACAGAAUUAAUUUUUUUUCAAUACUAAACCCUAAAGGCUAGAACUUUCCAAUUUAAGUUAAACAUAAUAAGCAAAAAGAAAGGGGAAAAAAGCAGAUCCUUAAGCACAAAAGCAAAGGAAGAGUAAGAAAAAGACAUACCAGCCUUGCAAGAAAAAAAAAUCGCAGAAAAGCCCUAAAAACUAAACCUAGAUCUUAUGAAGUGAUUUUCUCUGUUAUAUUAAUUCCCUUAGCUUUAAUCCCUGGCCGUUGCUGCUUUUAUGCUACUACCACUAAUACUAGUGUAUUUGAUUAUAUAUCAAAUCAAAAUCUCCGGUUUCCUCUUUAUUAAUCAAGCAGUAUCUCUUUAACUAUUCAGAACAAAUAGAACCACUGUAUUCAGAAUAACAUCAGCAUCCAUGAGAUAAACCUAAAAGAGAAGGGGACAAAUGGACUAACCAAUGGACAUAAUGGCAAACAACGUUUAGCCUGUGAGAGUUGAGUUUAGUGCGCUAUGAACAUCAAUCCCAAUCUGUGCUUCAGCUUUCUCCAAUUCAGUUGUGGCUAGCUCAGCUUCUGGGUGAAAUCUACAAGCCUUUUUUGGACAAGAUUUGCGUUGAUCCGAUCAAGUGGCACUGCCUUGACAGUAAUUAUAUCUGCAAAUGAGUUGGCAUGGAUAAAAACAAAACCGCUGCUGACAAAGUACUUUGUAGUUUCACUUCCUUCAUGCACUGACAGCACACCAGGCUUAAAUUCUGCAAUUGUUGCUACAUGUCCUGGAAGAACACCCAUCUGUCCAGUUGUGGCUGGUACUAUAACCAUGUCAACCUGGACACAGAGAGUUCAAGAUUUAAGAGAUUCAUCUUAAGAGCAACAUAUAGUCAAUGAUUUCAGACAUUAUUAUUAUUUUCCCUUCAUCCACCUCAUUUUUUUUUUCUCUUACGGGGUACAUCAACACCAUGAAAAGUUGCAUUACUGUUCCAAAUUACAUAGGACUAAUAUUCAUGGAAGAACCUACCAUGCCCCUCAGCCAAACCCACACUGAAAACAAAUAAGAAAAACAUAAAAAACAAACAUGCAUUCCUCUCUUUCAUUGUUUCAUUUAUUAUCAAUCAGAAUGGCUUCUAGGGCAAGGACAGUUCAAUAUUGUAGCUUUACUUUAUUAUGUUUACCAUUGCUCAAACUUAGCAAAAGAGCAAGAAAAACAACAGUGAACUUAGGUUGAGUCAUCCAAGUUGAAUGGAAGAGCCAUAUAAGGUCAGAUUUAGUUGAAAAUAGAGGAAAUUCCCUUAAUGGUCUAGGUGUUGGAAUUUUCUGAGAGAAAAUAUAGAUGGAAAUGGAAGAAGAAUGUUCAACAUACAGUAUCUUUCAAUCACAGCAAGGAUUACGAUUAAAAUCUAAACAAUUUUAAUAAUAAUACAAUUUUAACCUCAUAACGCCGUACGAUUCCUCGACGCACUGUUCUGUGACUCCUACAUAAUCAAUUGUUCCAUGUUAAGAUCAAGAACUAAAUAUUCAAUUUAAAAUUAAAGCAAAUGAAUCGUGCUCCUAAAGUGAAAUUAAAUGAGCAAAUCUAGAUCCAGAAGCAAGGCACUCGAAUUAAUAGAUUUAAGCAGCCAAAAUUUCCAAAUAAAAUAUCUACAAAAUUAAAGAAAAAAGAAACAUUUAGGCCAAAUUUUUAACUUCUGAAUGAAAAAAAUGCUCUAAUUAAAAGGGGGGGGGGAAUAAACCUGGUUAGAGGAGGUUGGAGAAAAAGAAACAUGUUGGACUUCGGCGGAUGAAGACGAAGUGAGAGCCACCGUAGACGCAACGAGCACGGUCGCAACAGGAGGUCCAGAUCCCUUCAUUUUCCCGAUUCUUUUCUAUAUCCGCGAUCGAACCUCAAAUAAAGAGUUAUUUUUUUGGAAGCUCCGAUGACGAAUGGGUGAAAUUCGACGAACUUCGCCGGUUCCCGACCUCCUUCUUUCCUUUUUUUUUCUCAGCCGAACAAAUACAGUACAUGUAUUGACUUGGUGUUGCUGGAAAUGGGAAAUUUGGGGGAUUUAGGGCGCGCCCUUUUUUGCGGCGUUUCCGUUAAAAACGCCAUUAUAGCUCAAAUUAUUUUGUGGAGUUUUACCUAAAAACGUCACUGUUACUUAAUUUUAAUUUUUUUUCAUUUUUAACAUAUUUUUUUAUUUUUUUCUUUCAAAAUUUUUGGGGUGAGAUUAUCAAUUUUUUAGAAUUUUUUUUAAUUUUGAAUAUUGAAGUUUUUAAUUGAAAUAUGAACUAAAAUAUUAAAUUUUAAAUUUUAAAAUUUUUUAUUUUUAAAAUUUUUAAUUUUAAAUUUUAAAUUUUUUUUGAAGAUUUUUAUAAUUUUUAAAUUAACAUAUAAAAUACAAAAGGAAACUUUAACAGAAAUAAAAUGGAAUCGAUGAAUUAAAAAAAUACAAAAUGACACUGCAAUACAAGCAUUAUUCUUUUAAAUAUGGUCCGCAUUAGUUGUUUACAUUUUUAUAUAAAUGGCAUUUAAUUAUAUGUACACACCUAAAUUUUGAAAGAGAUACAUCUCAGAAUUAUAUAUGAAUUUCGGUUUAAUGUGUAAUUGUAGACGUGAAAUUCUAAUUGUGGUUUAAAUGUAUAGUUGAAACUUUAAUUUUGAUUUAAUCAUACACAUUUUAAAAAAUAAAUACAUCAAUAUAUUUUUAUAUUGGAUAAAUAUAAAUAUUUAUGUCUGCAAUAUAUAAAUAUAAAAUGAUGUUAUAUCAAUAAUUGUGUUAAUAAUUUACAAGAACUGGAUCAAAUUAAAGUUCAUGUAUACAAUUGCACACUAAACCAUUGUUAGAAAAAGUAACAUUUACUGGGGAUUUUGGAUUUCGAAUUGGGGAGAAAAGGGUGAUUAUUUUAAGGAUUCGGAUUAGGGAAAAAGGAGAAAUUAUCUCUUACAUAAUUUAAACUAUAAUCACAAUUUUAAUAUAUUAAAAUUAAUAUUAUCUCUUUUACAAUUAUAUAAUAAAUUAUUUAAUAUAUAAAUUACAAACAUUAAUUAAUCUAAGGCUGUAAACCUCUACCCCUACCCCUUAAACCCUAAAUCAUAAACAUAAUCUCUAAACCCUAAAAACUUAACACUUAACCCCUAACCCCUAAGCCUUAACCCCCCAACCCUUAAACCAUAAACCAUAAUUCCUAAACACAUAAUCCAUAAACCUUAAAACCUUAAAAUAGUAACUCAUAAACUUUAAACCCUAAACUAUAAUGAUAAUUAAAUCAAUAUUUUAAAAUUAAUACUAUCUCUUUUAUAAUUAUAUAAGAAAAUAUUUAUCAUAUAAAUUAAAAAACAUUAAUUAAUCUAAACCCUAAACUCAUAAUCCCUAAACCCUAAAUCAUAAAUCCUAAAACAUAAGCCCUAAACCAUAAACAAUAACCUUAACCCUUAACCACUAACUCCUAACACCUAAACCUUAAACCCCAACCCUUAAACCACCCUUAAACCAUAAUCCAUAAACCUUGAAAUAGUAACUCAUAAACAUUAAACCCUUAACCAUAUACCAUAAACCCUAAACUAUAAUGAUAAUUAACUCAAUAUUUUAAUAUUAAUACUACCUCUUUUACAAUUAUAUAAGAAAGUAUUUAACAUAUAAAUUAAAAAAUAAUUAGUCAUAUACCAAAAAUCUUUAAAAUUAAUUUAAAUAAUAGUAUUUUAAUUUUUUUCAUUUUUUGUGGCAUUUUUCAAAAAGCGCCGCUAAAGCCACUAAAAGCUCAAUACAAAACGAUGGUGUAUUGCAAAAUUCUUUUUUGGCGUUUUUCAAAAAACGCCGCUAAAGGUGUACAUAUAGCGGCAUUUUUUAAAAAAGCGCCGCUAAUACUUGAUCUUUAUUGGCGUUUUUUAAAAGCACCGCUAAAGCCACUAAAAGCUCGACGGAGUUUUGCAAAAAAAUUUGGGGUGUUUUUUUGAAAAGCGUCGCUAAAGGUGUACUUAUAGCGGCGCUUUUUAAAAAAUGCCGCUAAUACUUGAUCUUUGGCAGCGUUUUUAAAAAGCGCCGCUAAAGCCACUAAAAGCUUAAUACAAAACGCGGAGUUUUGCAAAAUUCUUUUGUGGCGUUUUUUGAAAAACGCUGCUAAUGCUUAUUCUUUAGCGGUGUUUUUCAUUAAAACGCCGCUAAAAACCUUUUUUACUGUAGUGAGGCAAAGUUACUAUUACACAAAAGAAUGGAGAAAAGAAAUUUAUAUCAGAUGUUUAUUACGUACCAGCUUUGAAAAGCAACAUCAUCAGCCUUGGACAACUUCUAGAAAAAAGGAUAUGAAGAACAUAUGAAGAAUUGCAUGCUCGCCCUAUAAAAUAAGAGUGGUAAAUUAAUUGCCCAAGUUGAUAUGACACAUAACCAUCUAUUUACUAUUGACGUUGAAUCUGAAUAGGUGAAAUGCAUGAAGAAUGCAAUUAAAGAUGAAUUAUGGUUGUGGCAUUUAAGGUUUGGGCAUCUUAGAUUUUCCGGUCUGAAGCUAUUGUCAAAAGAAAUUAUGGUAAAUGGGUUGCCAGAAAUUAAUCCUCCUAAUCAACUGUGUGAAGCCUACAUUAAAAGAAAACAACCCAGACAGAGUUUUGAAACGAGAAAAACUCGAUGAGCCAGAAGACCAUUGGAGAUCGUGCACUUCGACAUAGCAGGUCCUUUUGAUAUACCAUCACUUGGUGGAAACAGGUACUAUGUUACUUUUAUUGAUAAUUUUAGUAGAAAAAUUUGGAUAUAUCUUCUUAAAACAAAAUCAGAAGCAUUUGACAAGUUUAUCAAAUUCAAAGCCAUGGUAGAAAAACAGAGUGAACAUUUCAUUAAGAUAUUCAAAACUAAUAGAGGUGGUGAGUAUACUUCAAAGCUAUUUGAAAGCUUCUGCAAGGAACAAGGAAUUAUUCACCAAUUGACAACUGCAUACACGCCAUAACAAAAUGGAGUCGCUAAAAGAAAGAAUCGCAUUAUUCUUGAUAUGGCAAGAAGCAUGGUUAAAGGUAAGCAUUUACUAAGAACUUUCUGGGCUGAAGCUGUUCAAUAUGUUGUUUAUUUGUUGAACCGAUGUCCAACAAGAAGUAUGAAAUACAAGACGUCAAACGAAGCUUAGAGUAAUCAAAAGCCAGGAGUCGGACAUCUCAAGAUUUUUGGAUACAUUGCAUAUGCUCAUGUGCUGACCAGACGAGAAAGAAGCUUGACGAUAAAGGAGUAAAAUGCAUUUUCAUUAGUUAUGAAAAGAGAAGUAAGGCAUAUAGGUUAUACAACCUUCUCACCAAGAAAGUUAUUAUUUCAAGAGAUGUUGAAUUCGAUGAAGUUGAUUAUUAGAGAUGGAGCGAAGAAGAGAAGAAAAUUAAAGGAUUAUUUUUCAGUGAUGACAAAGACAAUGAGUUCAUUAAUCAAGAACAAGGCGAUGAUCAAAGCCUUUCUCCAAGUCUUGUUACAACAACUCCUACAACAUCAUCAUCACCAACCAGCAGCAAUACCAACAACUUAGAGGAAGCACCUGCAAGAAUGCGUAGUUUACACAAUAUUUAUGAGGUUACAAAACCCAUAGAAACAAUACUCAAUUAUUCAUUAUUUUGUUUAAUGACAGAAUGUGAUCCAAUAAUAUAUGAAGAUGCAAUUAAAGAUGUCAUAUGGAAGAAGGCAAUGGAUGAAAAAAUUACAGCAAUAAAAUGAAAUGACACAUGAGAGCUAACCAGUCUACCAGAAGGACAUAGUCCAAUAGGAGUCAAAUGGGUGUAUAAGAUGAAGACCAAUAAAGAAGGAAAAAUGGAGAAAUACAAAGCAAGACUAGUUGCAAACGGCUACAAUCAAAGAUAUAGCGUAGAUUAUGAUGAAGUAUUUGCUCCAAUCGCCAGAAUUGAUACUAUAAGGCUUCUAAUGGCAAUUGCAGCAUAAAAUAAAUGGAAAAUUUAUCAGAUGGACGUGAAGUCAGCAUUCCUUAAUGACUACUUGGAAGAAGAAGUCUAUAUUGAACAACCACCUAGAUAUAGCAAACAAGGACAAGAAGACAAAGUUUAUCGCUUGAAGAAAGAUUUAUAUGGACUGAAGCAGGCUCUGAGAGCAUGGAACACAAGAAUAGAUGAAUACUUUCAGAAGAACAAGUUCAUGAAAAGCCCAUACGAGCAUGCUCUAUAUACGAAGAAAAAUGAAGUUGGUGACAUCAUGAUCGUGUGCUUAUAUGUGGAUGAUAUGAUUUUUACAGGAAACAAUCCAGGUUGAUUUUAAAAAAGCUAUGACUAAAGAAUUUGAAAUGACAAAUAUACUAAAGAAUUUGAAAUGACGGAUAUUGGUGAAAUGUCAUACAUUCUUGGAGUCGAAGUAAAACAAAUGAAAGAUGGUACAUUUGUGUCUCAAAAGAAGUAUGCAGAACAAAUUUUAAGCAAAAUUUAAUAUGAAAGAUUGCAAGCCAGUAGCCAUGCCAGCAGAACCAGGCAUGAAAUUAAGUGUUGAUUCAUCUAGAGAGCCAGUAAAUUCAACGUUAUUUAAAAGUAUCAUUGGAAGUUUAAGGUACUUGACUAUCACGCGGCCAGACAUCAUGUACGCAGUGGGAAUAGUUAACAGAUACGUGGAGAAACCAAAACAAGAUCACCUAAUUGCAGCAAAGAGAAUUUUGAGAUACAUCAAAGGUACGAUGGAUCAGGGUUUAUUCUAUACACACUCACAGAGUUCAAAAUUGGUUGGCUAUUCAGAUAGCAAUUAUGGUGGUGACUUGGAUGAUCGCAAAAGCACAUCCGGAUAUUUAUUCCAUAUUGGUUCCACAACAUUUUCAUGGUCAUCGAAAAAGUAACAAACAGUAGCCCUCUCAACAUGUGAAGCAGAAUACAUGGUUGUUGCAACAUGUACGUGUCAAGCAAUUUGGUUGAAGAAUAUUAUGGGUGAAUUAUCUAUUAUACAAGAAGGUCUAAUUACAAUUUAUGUUGACAACAAGUCCACAAUAUCUCUUGUAAAAAAUCCAGUGUCUCAUAGUUUAAGCAAGCAUAUUGAUACAAAGUAUCAUUUUAUUCGAGAGCAAGUGAAAAAUGAAAAUGUGGAGUUAGUUUACUGCAAAACAGAAGAUCAAUUGGUGAACAUUUUUACGAAGCCAUUGAAAGCAGACAUAUUCCAUAAACUCAAAGAAAAGCUUGGAGUGAAAAGUUCGGUUUGAGGGGGAGUAUUAGAAAACAAAUCGAUUUUUCAAAGUCAAAAAUUGCAGCCAAAGAAUUUCUAUCAAAAUUGGCCGGCAGAAAUGAUAAAGUUUAUCAAGCUAGAAAUUUUAUGAAAAGACAAGGAUGAUGGCAGCAGCUUUAAAAGUUUUACACGGCAAACAAAUUAGCUUGCAAGGUGGAUAGCAAGUUGUUAAGAAAUUGGUUAGCAACUUGGCUUAUUGGCAUGUACAAUGGAUAAGUAUUAUCAUUUAUGAUAUACCUAAGGGAUAAAGCAAUCAUUAAGGCGGUAAACUAUGUAUAUAUAUAUAUAUAUAUGUUUAGUUCAUGUGUGAGUGCUAGAAAAUGUUAGUGAGUUUGAGAGAAAAAAAAAAGUGUUGCGAGUUAUGGGAGGAAAAACUAGCAGCAGCUAGUAUAGAGAGAAAAAAAAGAGAGAGUAUGUAUUGUGUUUAUUUGUGUAAAAUAAAAAGAUAGUAUUUGAUUUAUUUUUAUUACACUUCCAACAGUUUCACAGGGACUAUGGAAACUUGUGCUAUUAGUGAAGAAGGGAUCACCGAUAUCCCAUUUAUUUUUUGCUAAUGAUCUUGUUCUUUUUGCGGAGGCUUUUUUAGAUCAAAUGCGAGUUAUUUUGCCCUUUUUUGGGGAACAAGAUCAGUGAAAAAAAAUUAUUUUUCUAAAAAUGUGGCAAUGCCUACCCAUGUUACUAUCAAUGAAGAGAAUGAUUAUAUAGUGGUUAAAGAUUUAGGGAAGUAUUUGGGAUGCCUUUGCUAUAAAAGAGUUACAAAUGCAACUUCCCAAUACCUGAUUGAGAAUAUGCGAUAAAAGUUAUAUGGUUGGAAGGCACGAAACCUCUCUCUUGCGAGUAGAAUUACAAUGGCCAAAGUUGUUUUAGCGGUUAUACCAAUUUAUGUGAUGCAGUCGAUGGUGGUUCCAAAAGGUAUUUGUUUGGGAAUGGAAAAUAAAAUGAUUCGGAAUUUUAUAUAGAAGAGAAAAAUUAGUCUUGUCAAUUGGAAAGGGAUAUGUUUACCCGUUGAGUAGGAGUAUGGGGUUUAAAAAGAAGUUUCAAAAUGGUGCUUUUUCUUAUGAAAUUGAGGUAUAAUUUAAUGAGAAAGGAUUGUAUGAAAUUGUGAUUUCAUACCAUUUCUAUCCCUUUUCAAUAAAAGAAUGACAAAUUAGAUUUUUCCUCCUGAUUUUAAACAGUUUUAGUUAAAUUUAAAUUUUUUCACGAGAAAAAAGCUGAAAGUAAAAAAAAAUAUGAUUUGUCAUUCUUCUAAGGUAAAGAAAUAAGGAUGGCGUGGAAUAAAAAAUAUGAUUUAUUAUUUUUCUAUGAGAAAAAAAUAAGGAUGACGUGGAAUUAGAGUUUUAUACAAACUUUCUCAUAAUUUAAUAGAUCAGCAGGAUUGGGUUCAAGUGAUGCGCACAAAAUCUAUGUACGAAGUCAUGGCCUCCAAUUUGGAGAGGGAUUGCAAAUGUUUGAGACGUGGUUCGGAAUGGACUGACUUGGAGCAUAGGCAAUGGCAGUAGUGUAGAUUUUUGGCGUGACCCAUGGAUUACGGAGAUUAGCCCCUUAAUCAAUCAAAGUUAGAAGCCAGACGAGAUUCCCGCUCAAAGAGUAGCUAUUGAACAGAUGGUCAACUCAAGUGGAUAUUGGAAUUGGGGACUGUUUGCGCGACUGUUACCUCAAGUCAGUUUUGGCUAGAAUCGCUAGCCAAAGGCCACCUCUCGCUUGGGAUGUUGAUGAUUUCCUUGGUCGGCGUUGGAACAAAGGGAGGGGUUUUACUUCGAGAUCAGCUUAUGAUGCUUUGCUGGAUCUGAAUGGGGAACCGACUGACCCGAAAUGGAGCAAGCUUUGGAGGUUCAAGGGCCCUCAAAGAAUUAAAACAUUUAUUUGGCUCGCGGCUUCGGGUAAUUUGCUGACAAAUGUAAACCGGAUGGGGAGGCUCAUGACGGAUAGUGGGCUGUGUCAAUUAUGUGGUGAAGAUGAUGAAGACAUCGACCAUGUGCUUCGGGGAUGCUAUCCGACAGCCUUUUGAAGUGGUCUUAUGGAAGCUGGUAAAUUGAAUGAGUUCCUUACCAUGAAUAUUGAGGAUUGGAUCUUCACAAAUGUGCUUGAUCCAUUACAUUUUGUAGAGUUCGAUAAUGAUUGGGACACUAGAUUUGGGUUUUUACUAUGGCUAUUAUGGUAGAAAAGGAAUGAUUUUGUGGAAUGGGAACCAAUUUUGCGGCAAGCAAAUCGGUUAACAAUGGAGAUCAAUAGGGCGCGAGCUAGCCAGGUAAUUGGUACUGCUACUAAAUCGAGAAUUCAGUCACUUGUUUGCUGGGAAAAACCGAGAAUAUGGGUGGAUCAAGGUUAACAAGGAUGGCGCAAGGAAAUUUGCAACGGGUGCAGCUGCAGCGGAAGGGGUGUUUCGAGACAGUAAUGAUCACUGGGUAAUGGGUUUUGCUAUGAAUAUUGGCACGUGUAUGGCUAUGGAAGUAGAACUUUGGGGAGCCUUGGAGGGGUUGCAACAAGCAAGGAAGAUGAUCGGGCGAUCGACUAAGAUCAGAUGGAUAAUUCACAGGCAAUAUCUCUGCGGUCCAAAGGGAAGGGUUUGAAUCACUUUUUUGGAUAAGAUCAUGGAACAUAGUAUUUGGAUACCAUCAUUGUCUCUCUUGCCUUGAGUCAAAUUUUAAUUUCAAAAAGAUUUUGAAAUUCAAGCUUAGUUUGUUAAUAUGCUCAAAUAGCAAGUUUUACUAUUAAAAACAAUAAAAAUAUUUUUAUUUAAAUUUAAUUAUGAAAUAUAUAAAUAUUAGUAUGAUUUUUAAACCGUAAAAUAAAUUGGACAGAAGUUAAAAAAAUAUAAAUUCAAGCCUGAGUUAAAGUCAAUUGGGUUAUGUAGUCUACUUAAUCCAUAAAUACUUCUACUUCUUACUAAUCACUAUGUCGCGCCUACUUUGAUUUCACAUUUCUGUAAAAUAUAUACACAAAUCGUUUUCGGAUUAUAAUUAGAACCCCCUUUUUUUGGACCCAUCUCACAUCGAUGACUCAACCCCUCCCACCUAUAGGUAAUUUUAGACAAGUCUCCUUUGAAGUAGAUACCUGAAUCCCAAGUAUGAUCUGUAAUAAUCUAUCUUCUGGAGUAUACGAUAUUUCUUUCUCCACCUAAGGUGUUAAUUUAUCUAUUAAAAUGUCGCCCAUCUCAACUCAAGAUCCCAGCAUCACAAUUUCAUUUUUGUCUAAAUUUCAAAGUAAAUGGGCUUCUAAGUGCAGUAUUUCAUUAGUGAUUCUUUCAGGACCUUAACUUAUCAUAUGAGUCUGAAUUUCAUAUUUUUCGUAUGUGAAAAAAAAUAUAAAUAUACUCAUAUACUAGACGCUAGCUCCUGAAAAAUUUGAAGCUUCAAUUAAAUGUUGCAAUUCUUUUUUAAGUUUAGCCAUAUAUUAUUAUCUAAUACAACUUUAAUCACCAUUUACAAAUAUGCUUUUCAUAAUUUAUGGAUGAGUCAUACACAUUUAAAUGAUGAUAAUUAGUUUAUUGAAAUAAAAAAUAAAAGAAAAAAGAUUUUCACUCCCAUCCACUUUAGACCGAGAAAGAAUUCCUCCCCUUGAAAAAAAGGGUUCACAUUUAUAGCUUUACAUUUGGAUGAUCUCGUUUACAUUUGUGAGAGAUUUUGGACUAAAUCUGAAUGGGCUGUUUCGAACGAGGAUUAGGUGACAAAUACGACCUUUUAUGUCCCUCAUCAUAAAGUUCCAACACUUGAUUAAUUAAUUAAAUUUGUCAAAAAAGUGAUUAUUCUCUCCUACAUGUUUAAACCCCAUUUUUUAAUAUUUUAUUUGUUGAUUUUAGAUGUUUGAAUGUUUUCGAGUAAGUGGAGGCGAAAUGAGCAAAGUCCAUCACCAUAAAGCCGAAAGAGUUGAUUUAGUUAAAGGCCAAAUUAUUAUUCUUCAAAGAAAAAAGAUAAAAAGUAAGCAGUUCAACACUAAAAUAAUAAAAUUACAACUUCCAAUUAUCUAUAUCUAUAAUAUUAUUUAAGAUUUUGAUUGAGUUAAUUUCAUCUUUUAACUAAGUUUCAACUCAAUUGACACUGUUUUUCUUGAUACAAUGUCUAGAAGUACUUAUAGCGUCUUCCCAACUCAUAAAUAAAAAGAUAAUACGUUUCAGCGCACUUAAACUCAUGUCAUCCUGAAUUAAUAAUAAUACUUAUACCAAUAAAACUAAAACUGAAUUUACACUAACCUAACAAAACAAAUUAAUACAACUCAACUUGUAUUUGAUUUAACUCCAACUUAAAUCGAGGUCAAUCUUACUAGUGACUGAAGUCUAUGAGUUAAUAUUCGCUCACCAACAUUUUAAUGUUAAUUCCUUUCUUUCCAACAUAUUGACUUAUUCAUAUGUUUCAUAUCGCUAAGUCAAAAACGUGGUUUUUACGUUUUCAAAAACCCACCAUUUUCAACUCCCUCAAAUUUUAUUACUCUUUUCAACUUUACAAGUUUACAAAGGUCAAAUAUGCGAUUGGGUCCCAAAAUCCCCCCCACACCACCUUUUUAUAUAUAUACAUGUGUAACUCUAUUGUAACCCAUAUAUCUCAAAUUUUGAACCAAAUUGAAAGAGAAGAAAAAUGGGUUCUAACAAUAUGAUCCAAGUUAUUAAUCUCCUUUUCAUCUUCAUAUUUUUUCUAUUGCUCUCAAAUUCUUUGCAUGUUGAGGGCUCAAGGUUCUUAAAAGAUCAUCAAGGGGUUCCAUCUUCUUCUUUUUCUUCGAUUUCCUAUAUAAAGCGCUUUAGUAUAAGCAUAGCUUACUCCGGUCCUAGCCGUCGUGGAGCUGGUCAUUGACUGAUGCCGAUGUGUUUCGUGUUAAACAUUAUUUUCCCAUCACCAAGGUCAUUGGGUCACAAGGUUCAGUCAAGUAGCUAGCUUUUAAUAUUUGAUGAAGGAGAUCAUAUGAGGUAACCCUAGCAGCCAUGUUCAUGCAUGCGCUAAGGACUCAGCACCUUCAUGAUGGUGUGUGUGUGUGUGUUUUGUCCUAAGAAAGGGCAAGUCAUAGAGUUGAAUUUUUUUGGUUUUUUGUUUAAAUUUCUUUUAGCAUUUUUUCUAUGCUUGCUACAAGAUAUAAAUAUGUAAUAUAUUUAAUGUUUAUGUAAUGUAAAUGAUUUUUUUAUCAGACAAAUGAAUGUAGUGCUUGAAUUUCUAUUCCUCUCUUACUUAAUUUUGGAUUGCCCAUAUUAUGAUCGCUUAUAUAAAUUUAUUACUUCUUGCUGCCUAAGAUUGAUUGAGGAUUAUCAAUAUUGAAGCUCCAAUAUUUUAUCAAUGAAUUAUUUUUACUGUAGAUGAUUAUAUAUAUAUAUAUUUAAUUAAUCAUUCUCCAUACUAUAAUUUUUUUUUUUACUCUUUAGCCUAGUUGAUAUUGUUGCAAUUGUAGCAACCAGAAAAGUAUAAGUUCAAACGUAUUUUUCCUUCAAUUUAAAUGUUGGGGAGGGAUUCUAAGUAAAAAAAAAAUUACACAUUAUUUAUUUAUUUAAUGAAUCAUUUAUUCAAAUUUAAACAUGAAAAAAUAUAUACACAUACAUAUUAAAAUAAAAAAUAAAUUAUGAAAAGUAAAAAAGAUAGAUAAUAUGUUAUGUCGAUUAAUUUAUUUGGUUAAAAAGAUGAGAAAAUAGAAAAAAAAAUAUUUUUUUCUAUAAAUUGUUUGAUAAAGUUGAAAAAUGAAAGGAUAUAAAAUGAAUUUAUCUUUUAAAAUGCAUAAUCUUAUAAAUAUGUACGCUUAACAUACAUUUCUUCACCCAUCGUUACAACUAAAAAAAUAUAUAGAUUCAAGCGUGAUUAAAUACAUAUUACUCUUUUGGGGUUUUUUCAAUUCGCCUCAAACGCUUUGAAUGUUGAGGCUGAAGGUUCUUAAAAGAUCAUCAAAGGGCUUCUUCUUCUUCUUUUUCGAUUUCAGAUAUAAAGGGCUCUAGUAUAAACAUAGCUUACUCCGCUCCUAGCUGCUGCGGAGGCGACCAUUGGCGGAAGCUGACAUCUUUCGUGUUAAAUACUAUUUUCCCAUCACAAAGUCAUUGGGUCACAAGGUUCAAUGAAGUAGCUAAGUUUUUAGUAUUGAUGAAGGGGAUCAUAUUAGGUAACCUAGCAGCCAAGUUCAUGCAUGCCCUAAGGACUAAGCACCUUCAUAAUGGUGUAUUUUUUUUUAUCCUAAGAGGGCAAGUCAUAGAGUUGAAAAAAAAUUGUUUAACUUUUUUCCAUGCUUGCAACACAAUGUAUAUAUAGGUAAAAUUUCAUGAAAGUCCCUGUAUUAAGAGUUAGAUUGUAUUUUACCCCUCUACUAAAAAUGGACAAAUUAAUCCAUGUGCAUUAAAUAAAAGAGUAAAUCGGUCUUUUUUUAUUAAAAAUUUCAUUCAUUUGUACUAUUAAAAACUGAUAUGACUAACGGAAUAACCAGACAAGGACACACGACAUUCCAUAUGUACCUCAUGUUGAUCUACAAAGACCAAUUUUUAACGGAAUAAUAUUAUGUUGUUGGUUUACUUAUUGAUGCUAAAGAUUGAUCCAAGAUUUAUCAAUAUUAAACGUCUAAUACUUUAUCAAUGAAUUAUACGUGUGAAUCAGCAAGGACCACCUUGCAAGGCUAAAUACUCCUGGGUGACUGAUAGCGAAGUAGUACCGUGAGGGAAGGGCGGAAAGAAUCCCUAUUGGGGAGUGAAAUAGAACAUGAAACCGUAAGCUCCCAAGCAAUGGGAGAGGCCCAGGGCUCUGACUGCAUGCCUGUUGAAGAAUGAGCCAACGACUCAUAGGUAGUGGCUUGGUUAAUGAAACCCACUGGAGCCGUAGCGAAAGCAAGACGUGAAUUCAAGCACGAUUCUCCAAUUUAAGGGUAAGGGGUUUUAUGGAUAGCACUAGAAAUCAUAUAAAAAAAACUUACAUUUCUCUUAUUUUGAUCUAAUUAUAAAUUUCAUCCCUCUACUUUAUAGAAAUUGAGAAAUCAGUCCAUCUACUUAUUGAAAAAAUUAAUCCAAUAAGAUAAUAUCGUUUACUUGAAAUCAUUAGCUAGAAAAUCAUCAAAUCAAUAAGGUCAGCCACUUGAUAAUAGAGUUGAUUUUUGUUUUUUCAAAUGUCUUUCCAUGCUUGCUACAAGAUGUAUAUUACGUAAUGUAAAUGGAUUUUUUAUCGAAUGUAAUGUUUGAAUUUCUAAUCCUCCUAAUGUUGGAUUUUUUAUCUUAAUAUAUUAUGAUGAUUUGCACAAAUAUUAAGAUAUUCAUUUUUUUCUCAAUCUUGCACACAUAUAUAAAUACAAAUUAUAUCAAGCACAUGUCACGCAUGUGUAGAUAAUCAAUACUAUUUUUUGAAAUCGUAAACGUAUGCAAUCAUUUUUUUUAUCAUCUUGUGUUGUCAAGGGUACCUUAUUAUAAUAAGUUCAUACAAGUUAGUACCACUAUGUCACUUAAAUAUUUAAUAAUAGUUAAUGUAACAUUGUUAUACAUAAUUUUUUUUUAUAAUUAAAAUUGAAUUGUUUAUUUUGGUGUUUAUAUAUAAUGUAUGAUAAUAAAUUUAGUCCUCAAUCUUUAUAUAUUUAUUCAAUUUGACUCCUACUCUAUUAGAAAAUUUUAAAAUUAAUAAGGCUAAAGAGUCAAAAAGGCCUUAGUAAAAAAUCUAAAAAAAAACCAAUUAAACCCUUUUAAAUUAUAAACAAAAUUUAUAAAAAAAAAUUUAAAUUUAAAUUUUUUUAUUAAAACAUAAUAAUAAUGACCUAACAAUUUUUUUUUCAAAAUCACCAUUAGAUUUUAAUGGGUUAAUAUUGUUUUCUUUUUAAUAAGAAUUUUAUAAAUUUAAAAUUAUUAUAACUUUUUUUAUAAAUUUUGUUAAUAAUUUUAUGGGUUUUUUAAUAAUUUUAAAAUUUUAAAAGGGCUUAAUUAAUUUUUUUUUUAAAAUUUGUUACCAAGGCCUUUUUGACUCUUUAGCCUUUUAAGUUAAAAAGCUUUCCAAUUUAUUUUCAAUAAAAUAGUAGGGGUCAAAUUAAAUAAAUGUAUAAAGGUUGAGGGCUAAAUUUGUUAUUAUACCUUAUAUAUACAUCAAAUUUUAAUGGUAGGUUGUUUUGCUCACUCAUCUAACAUAAACCUGAUCAUUAGCUAGGUCCCCCGAAAACUGGGAGGGUUUGGGCAAAAAUAUAGGUCCGAAAAAUGGGCCUAGGCAAAAAAAUAAGGCUCAUUAAUUUAGAAAAUGAACUGGGCUUCAGAUAAGCUUUUUACACUGUUUUGUUGUCAUUUCACUAUUAUAUUGCUAUUAUUUUGUUGUUAUUGUUUAGAGAUUAUAUAACUCUUGUUUUAUUGUUAAUUUUGCUAUUAUUUUAGAGGCAUUUGCUUGUUAAAUUGCACCUAUCUUAAUGUUAUUUAAGUAUAAAAAAUUUUAAAUUUAUUUUUAAUUUGUUGGGAAACAUUUAUUUUAAUGUUUUUAGUGUAUUUCAUGUAUUAUAUUUUUAAAAUUUAUUUAUAUAUAAAAAAUAAUAUAAAAAAUUUAAUACGGGCAAACCAAGCUCGGGUUUUAGCUUUUUUUUUAUUAUCUGGGAUGGGACAAAAAUUUAGGCCCAAUUUUCGGGUUGAGCCCGAGCCUAUCAAACAAGCUUGAAUUUUUGUUACAGUCCAGCUCAGUUCAGCCCAUGAUCACCUCUAAUCUAACAUACAUGGGCUAAUUUGUCCUUUUUUCUAUAGAGGGACUAAAAUGUAAUCUAUGAUAUAGUAUAGGGGGUUUUGUGGUACUUUUACCCUCAAUUGGUGUCGUUGUUGUUGCAACUACAAGGAAGAUGUUGGUUCUAAGUCUAUUUAAACAUGUAUUAUCCCUUUUUAUGAAAGCAUGCAAGUAUUAUUUUUUGAUUUAAGGGUUGGAGGGGUUUGUGAGCAAUGGUAGGAAUUGUAUAAAAAAAAGGGUUAAAUAAUUUUUUUGGUCUUGAACUUGGUAAUUUUUCUUUCACAUUGAGGCUUGAACUUUUUUUUGUCCAAGUUAGGCCUUGAACUUAGCAAUUGUUUCCACAUUGGGGCUUAUACUUUUUUUUUCCAAGUUAGUGCUUGAAAAGCUUAGAGUUCAGGCCCUAAUAUGGGAACAAUUAUUAAGUUCAGGCCCCAAUAUGGGAACAAUUGUCAAGUCUAAGGACUAAUUUGGACAAAAAAGGUUUAAACCCUAAUAUGAAAAUAGUUGUCUAGUUGCCCAAUGUGGGAACAAUUGUUAAGUUUAGGGCCUAACUUGGACAAAAAAAAGUUUAAACCCUAAUGUGAAAAAAAUUAUCAAGUUUAGACCCAAAUAAUGAUUUAACUCUUAGCAAACUUACAUAUCUCUUAUUUUGAUCUAAUUAUGAGUUUCAUCCCCUACUUUAUAAAACUUGAGAAGUUAGCCCAUCCAUUUUAAUUUUUCAAAAUUUAAUCUUUGUACUUGAUGACACGAAGAAAUUAGUCUAAUAGGGUAAUUCUGUUAAAUUUUACUUUUAAAUCAUUGAUUUGGAAAUAAUCAACUGAAUAACUUAAAUACAAGAAAUUAGUAAAAAUAAAGUAGCCUAGCAAUUUAUAUGCAACAAAUUAGCGAAAAUAACCAUUCAAAUUCACGUGUUUGUUAAUAACUUGACUAACGUCACAAUUUUCAUGAAAUAUGAGUAUCAAAUUUUAAAAAUUAAAAUAUAUAAAUUAACUUCUCAAUUUUGUACUUUGAAAAAAUUUACAGUUGGACUCAAUUAUUUUCUCUUUUUUUUUUCAUUCCAAUUUGGAUAAUUAUUUUAUCACUAAGCAUUAUAAAACAAUCAUCUUUAUUAUUUUCUCUUUUAUUUUUUUUUUUUGGUGAAUUACAAGAUGAGGGCAAAGUUCUAACAGCAUCGCAACUAACAUGACUCGAACCCAAAUUACACCUAAAGCGAUGAACACUCUAAUCAUCAAACUAAUACACGGGUUCAUUAUUUUCUCUUCUUAAUACACCCAUUUUCCACACUUCUGGCUCAUCUAUUUCCAUCUUUUCAUUUUACCAAAAAGACCUUUUUAAGUUUAAACUCUACAUUCAAAGUCAUAAUUUUGACUUUUGAAUUAUUUGUGUAGUUUAAUAAAUUUUUUUUCUUCUUUAAAAGAAAGGACCCAUUUGAUAAAACUUCUACUUUCUAUCUUUUAUACAAAAUUAGAAUGGAAAUUAUAAUAAUAAAAAUAAUAACAAUAAUAAUAAUAAUAAUAAAACUUAUGAAAUGGAGUCUAAACUAAAUCUUCCUUUGAAUUGAACGUGAUUUCUUUUUUGCUUUGGUCAAAAUAACUUAAUUAUAUACACCCAAUAAGAAGUAAGAACACUCUACUAUUUAUAUAUUUCUAAUAGUUGCUGCCUGGAAUGGUUUUCUUUGAAUUUCAACACUUCUUUUAUAUAAUAAUUAGUAUAGUUUCUACGCACGUUCCGUGUUAAGAUAAUUAUUUUUCGGUUUAAGGGUAUAAAAGGUUUUUAAAUUUUUUCAAAAGAAACAAUUAAGUCACUGCUUUUUUUUCUGCAUUUAAUUGAGUAUUUGAAUUUUUAAAAUGUAUUAAAAAAAUCAUUUGACCAUUAAUUUUAACAGUUAACCCUUAAAAUUAACUGUACAUAAUUUUGAUAUUUGUCGGGUGUCAUGUAAGGAUGGUCCUAAUUUUGAUAUUUAAGGGCUUUAAUAAUUUGUAUCACAAGUCAAUAAGAUAGGGGCAAUUUUAGAGAGGCUUGGCUUCCCUCAAAUGGAAUAAUUACCUUUUAGUCCCUCUAAUAAAUGAUAAAAUUAAAAAAUAUUUUAUAUAAAAUUAUAUUUUAACCCUUCAAAAUAAAAAUAUUUUUAUUUAGUCCUUUUAAAAGUGAUUAAAUCAUAAAUUAUCACAAAAAAAUUAAUUUAAUUUCGACUCCCUAAUUUUUUUUGACCAAUUUAGUUUAAAAUGAUUUAUUUUUUUAUAAAUAAUAAAUACUACAAUGAGGGUUUUUUUAUUUUUAUAUAAAAUUUAUAAAAAUAUUAAUUUAAACAUGAAAUAAGUUUAAAAUAAUACUUACAGGGAUUUAAAUAUAAGACACAUUGGUAUCUAAAAACUCAUUCUUACCCUUUCAAAGCUUCAUUUAAAUAUAUAUUUCUUGAAACAUUCUUUCUUGUUUGCUUUUUCUUUGAAAAGAAUAAUAAGAUGCAUUAAAAUAUUUGGGAUGAUUAAUGCUUCCACACCAACACCCAACAACUUUUCCCCUUUUUAAUAUAUAUAAGAUGGUCAAACAAUUUACUGUACUAAAUGUAAUUUCACAUUUAUUAUUUAGAUUUUAAUUAAAUAAUGCAUUUUUAAAAAAUUAAUUUCUAUGAUCAAUUAGCUAAAAUGUUUAAGAGGAUAAGAAAAAAACAUAAUUUUUAUAUUCAAGUUAUAAUUUUUAGUUCGUGUGUAAAUGGAAUGAAUGGUUAAUAAAUUUGUAUGUAAAUUUAAGUGUAACAAUAUAUAUAUAAUAUAUAUUUUAAUUUUAAUUUUAAUUUUUUUAUUAAAUUGGUGUUACGGGUUAAUCGGAUAUUAAUUAAAUUAAAAAUUAUUGAAAUAUCUUUUGAUAUACAAAAUAAGUUAUACUAUUAUGAAGGUGUUUCUUCUGUCUUUUUUUUAUUUUAUUUUAAAUAAAAUCAAUAAAAAUAUCACUUAUAAUAAAAUUUAAAUCCUUAACAUUAACAUGUAUAAAGCAUUAACUUUACCACUUCAAUUAAAAUUUUGUUAUAUAACUAUAAAAAAAUAUAUAAGAACCCGACUCGAGAUCUGAUCAAAUUAUCUAACUUGAAAUAUCCAUAGUUUAAGUAACAUCAAACACUUCAUUUAAGGGGGCUUCUUCUCUAUUUUCUAGAUCAGACCACUAUCUCUUCCAUCUUGACCUCCAAUUUUAACCUUUAUUGAUAUAGUGUAUCAAUAAAUUUUAUUUUAAUUUUUAUAAAAAAAUAAUAAAUAUUGGCAAAAAAAAAUUGAAUUCAAGAGCUCACAUCAUGUUAUAUUGAUUAUCCCAAAACUUGAAUUGAUUAAAAAAAAAACAGUCAGAAAUAUCAAGAAAGACUUGGUAUAAAAUGGACUAUCAUCGAGCACUAUUCAAAUUUCAAAGUCAACUCUUUUAUUUUCGCCCUUUUUUUUGUUUUAAAAAUUGAGAAAAAAAAAAGAAUAGGAAAAAGGGGUGGGAACAACAUAUAUUAUAAAAUAUAUUUGGGUCUUCAGUGAUCUAUGAUAAACAAACGACUAUAAUACAAGUGGACCGACCAACAUACCAUACAUAGCAGCUUUUUUUGGGGGGUUAAAAAUAUAUUGCAGUUUGAUAAAAUUUUAAUUUUAUACUUAAAAAAAUUUUUAUUUAAAAAUUCAGUACAAUUAUUAAAAACGUAAAUAUUUUUUUGUUAAUAUUUGUCAAUUUAAUAUGUUGAUUAGACUGUUCUCUUGUGAUGAGGCAUAUGAUUAAUAAAAAUAAAUAUGUUAAAUUGAUAAAUUUUUAUGGAAACUACCAACGAUAGUAAUGAUUUGAUUAGAAUUUUUUUUGAGUUUUAAAGUACAUAGACUAAGUCUCAAAUUUUAUCAAAAUAUAAGAACUAAAGUCAUAUUUUAACCCUUUUUUUCAGUUGCAUACCAUACUAGCUUUUACUAAAUGCAACUUUGAUUUAAAUGGUAAAAUUGAGGGUUUUUUACCUCAAUAUUAUAAAAAAAAAGUUAUACACCAAAAUAGAUUGUCAGCCAGAUUAAUUACGAAAAUAGUAUGUUUUUUUAGGUCGUACCUAUCUGACAGGCACAACCGAUUUUUUUAAUAUUAAAUUUUUUUAUCGUUUAAAAAAUUAUUAUAUAUAUUUUAUUUUUCGAGUUAGUAUACAACCCGUGUAUAUGGAAGCAUACAUACAUAUUGUGCCUUCCUGACAGGCUCAACUAGUUGAGCCUAUCUGACAGGCACGACUAGUUGUGCCUUCUUGGUAGGCACAACUGGUGGGGCCCACAUGAAGGCACAAUUGGUGGGGCCCACAUGCUUAAUUUUUCCCUAUAUACUCCCCCGAAAAUCAGAUGAAGAACAUACAGAAAAUUUAGCAGCAAAAUAGAAGUAAGAAGAGAGUGAGAAGAAGGAAAGAAAGAAAAGCAAGAAGAAGGAUAAGGUAUCUUAAUUUAUUUAUUUUUAAAUAGAAUGUAGAAUUUUGUUAGAAAUUUUAUUAUUUAAAAGUUUGUUAGAUUAAUAAUUUUGUUAGCUUCUGAAUGAAAAAUUUUGCAUUAAAAAUUUUAUGUAACUUUUUUGCUAUUCGAAACUAUUUUGAGAAUUUUGAAAUUUUUUUAACAGAUCUAGUAUUGAAUAUGGAGAAUCAGUUUUUCGUAUGCGUUUAUUUUGAUGGAGAAAUAUUGACAACAAGCUAGGAUGUAUAUUUGAAUGUCGCAAACAAGUAGCAAUGAGAUUCAAUAGAAAUAUCUCUUUUGAUGAUAUGAAGGAAAAAAUUAGUGAAAAAAUUUAUAAACGUUGUGGGAGAAGGAUCUCGAAACUUUUCUACAAGUUCCCAGUUUCACGGAUCCUAUAAAAUUCACCGAAAUGGAACUUGUAGACGAUGAAAACGUGGAGACAAUGGUCUCUUUAUUGUGGGACUUGGAGCAAUCAAAAUGCACCGAUUCAGUUAUUUGCUGAGUUAGCUGGUAUGGAGGAAACUGAAGAUGCCACUUCAUUAGGUGAAGAAGAUGGAGUUCAAGAACCGUGUAUGGUGGUUCCGGUAUCAUACGUUGGUAGUCAAUCAACUAUACAUGGGAUCGACAUUGAUCUUAAUACUGCACUCGAGACUGCUGUGGUUGGUGAUGAUGUAUACCAUAGUAGUGAUCCUUCUGAUCAUGAAGUCGAUAGUGAAAGUGAUCCCGACGUGGAUGAGGUCCCGGAUGAUAUUGACGAUGAAGGCGUGAAUGAGGAAGUAAAUGUUAAUGCGUCUUCAGUCGGGAACCAGAUUCGUCGUAUUGUGAUACAUAAUAAUCUUGGGGUACACAUGUCUCAGAUAGACCCCGAUGCGGCGCAUGUAGCCGAGUUCCCAGAGUACCCUGAAAUAUAAUCUGCUCAUCGGAUGGCCGUAUAUUCUGAUCAUGAGGAGUUGUUCGUGGGCCAAAGAUUCGAAAAUAAGGAAGAGUGCGUAUUUGCCAUUAAACGGUAUAGUAUGAAUAUAUCAGUGGACUAUAAAGUCGUUGUGUCUAAACCGACAUUAUAUAUUGGAGAGUGUUGGAAGUCAGCGGAAUGCUGCAAUUGGCAGAUACGAGCUGUAUUUAUCCAAAAGUCGCAGAUGUGGGAGAUACGAAAAUUUGUUGGGCCUCACACAUGCACUUCAUCACGUAUGACAGAAGAUCAUCGAAAACUUGAUUCCAAAACUAUCUGUACGUGCAUCAUGCCAAUGAUUGAAGACAUGCCGACCAAUAAGGUUUCGGUACUGAUUGCCGAAAUACAGGCACGAUUUCAGUAUCGAGUGUCAUACCGGAAGGCAUGGAUAGCUAAACAGAUGGUAAUGGAGCAAUUGUACGGAGAUUUCGAUGCAUCAUAUAAUGAGUUACAGGGAUGGAUUGCCGCUAUGAGGGAGUACGUACCAGGGACUGCCAUUGAGUUGCAAACACGACCAUAUUAUGGCCCGGAUGAGCAACUACAACCGAGAAAAAGAAUUUUCCAACGGAUGUUCUGGACGUUUGAUCCAUGUGUACGUGCAUUUCCCCACUGCAAGCCGUUUGUGCAAGUAGAUGGGACAUGGCUAUACGGUAAAUAUACACAGAUUUUACUUCUUGCGAUUGCUCAGGACGGGAACAAUAACGUACUCCCGGUUGCGUUUGCCAUCGUAGAUAAAGAGAAUAUGAAGUCGUGGGAAUUCUUCCUUACAAACCUGCGGAGGUAUGUUGUUAGUAAUGAUAGUAUUUGCAUCAUCUCCGAUAGAGGGAAAGGAUUAAUUGCUGCCAUUAGGCGUUCUGGUGUGCCAUGGAGAUCUGUUUACUGCAUACGGCACAUUGCGUCUAACUUUCAUCGAGAUUAUAAGAAUGCAGACUAGAAGAGACAAGUUGUGAAAAUGGGUAAAGAAUAACAUUAUCCUUUCAAUAUAUAACCUAAUGUUUUAUGAUGAGACUGUAACUUAUAUUUUCUUAAAACAUACACAGCGUAUGAGCUUGAGCCACACAUUUUUCGGCAAAGGAUGACUCGACUUGAGAAUGACAUGGAAGGUUAAACGAACACAUCUUUCCGACAAUGGUUAGGUACCAUGGAGCCCUGGCAAUAGGUUCAAAGUUUUGACGAGGGCUUUUGUUACGGUCAAAUGACCACAAACUUGGUGGAGGGCAUCAACGCUGUGUUAUUAAAAACACGACAUCUUCCGAUUUCAUCUGUCUUCUCGGCUACAUUCUACAAGUUGGCUACCUUGAUGCCAAGAAUGGGUCAGCAACAAGUCAACCAGAUAGAGGCAGGACACGUGUUUGUCGAAUAUGUCAGGGAUGCAAUGGUUGCAAAUCGUCGGAUGGCGAGGUCGAUGAAUGUAGAAGUAUAUUCACGACGUAAUGAAACAUUUCGCGUUACAGAGACCAUCGGUCGUCGACCCGGUAUACCACCUAGGUCCUGCGGAGUUGAUCUCUGAAAUAAACGGUGCGAUUGUAGGAGGUUCCAAACACUUCAUUAUCCUUGUGCACAUGUUGUAACAGCUUGUGCUAAAGUCUCGCUCAAUGUAAAUCAAUUUAUCGAUGAAGUGUAUACCCUCGAACGCACGUUGCGUGUAUAGGAGAAUGAGUUUCCCGUACUUCUUGACCUAUCUACUUGGGAGGUUCCUCCGACGACAUUCGAGCUUGUCCCAGACAAAGGGUUACGUAGGAACCCAAAAGGUUGUCCGCAAUCAUCUAGAAUCCGUAACGAAAUGGACAUUAGAGAGAAAUCCGAUAGGAAGUUGUGUGGAGUUUGCAGAUUACCAGGUCAUAAUCGGAAUAAAUGCCCGCUCCGAAACUACCAUAUUGGACAAUCGUCGCGUUCAGAUAGAAAUUAAGAUUUUGUUAAUUACAUGUUGGAAGAAAAAGUCCCGCCGAGUAGUAUUAAAUGGAUUUUUUAAGCAUUUUAAAAUUGAUUGUUUUUAAUACUCCUCUUUUUUUGCAAUUAUGUACUUCAACCCAAGCAAAUCCAAAAUUCGCCUUCGAAGCACAUGUUUAUAUACAAUUUACAUACUUACUCCGGGUGAAGCAUGACUAUUUGUGUUCAUACAUACUUAACUCGGAUUUAUUAUGUAUUUCAUUUACUAUUAUAAUAACGUUCUUCAACCGGGGGAAUGAUAAUUAUCCUUUGUAAUUAAAUGAUAAAAAACUCAUUACAUAAAUAGUCAUUACAUAAUUUGCCAAAAAUAAAUUAAAUUUAUAAAUAAAAUGCCAAAAAAUUUAUUACAUAAAAAAGGAAGUUAUUUAUAUUACAAAACCCCCUAAAAUUGAUGGUUUGAUUGUGUGGUUCUAGGGGUAUAUUUUUGUGGAGCCCGACGUUCACGUUGCGGACGACUACGACAAUCAACGUUCUCUUCAUCUGUAUGUAGGGGUGUGUGAAACAUAGACGAAAAAUCAUAUGUCUCAAACGCCAUCGAUGAACUUGAGCCGAGAGGAGUAGAAUAUGGAGGUGGAUAUGGGCUGGGAGGAGUAGAGUACAGCGGUGGAUACGGCUCUGGAGGAGUUGAGUAUAUAGGUGGAUACAGGCCGGAAGGAGUAGAGUACUGAGAUAAAUAUGAGCCGGGAUGACUGGAGUACUGAGGUGGUAGUGGGCUGAAGAUAUCAAACUCUGAAUGAUAUCCGUGGCCUGAGGAGCCCAAGAAUUAGUCAUCGCCCCCUAAAUCUGGAUGAUAAUAACUACCUCCAGAGUGUAGUUCCGGCUUUGGCUCCUGCUGUGGCUCCGGCUCUGGUGCAUGAUUCGAAUCUGGAAGAUGUUGCCCAUUCGUGUCGUAUGUGGGGGGACUACCAUCGACCGCCCACCAAACAAAAAUGGUUUCCCUAUCUCACAGUACCACUGUAGGUACUGUAACGAGGGCUGAAGAUCCAAGCCAUGAUCCAUCUGAGGUACCCUCUCAAAUUGGUUGUUCCACAUCAUAACAUAUUCUUCAUGCUCAUCUCCCCAAUCAAGCCCAUGCCUCCCCUUCAUGGUCAUCCCAUGGAUAUCCCCCAAUCGUACUGGUGAACUCGGGAUAUAUUGAAUGCAACCGAACUGCCGAAGUACUCGAUCGCCAUGAUACCACUCCACUAUCUGAAAAUUAAUAACGGGUGCGCUAAUGCACCAUAAGUUUGAGUAGACGCGGGCAGACGAGGGAAUAUUUGCCAUAAUUUCUAGAACAUAAUACGACAUCCAAAUGAACUGCACAGUUAACCACAUUUUUUGUAUUAACGUAGGUCGAGUGAAAUAAAAUAAUAAAAUAAAAUUGAUAUUGAAAAAACUUACCCCCUCUCCAGAAUGAUUCUCGAUCAUCAGGCGGUAUAUCAGAACCGUGUAUGACCUUCCGAUACCCAGAUUUGUGCUCCAUUUAAGAAAAAAAAUUGUUAGAACAACAUAAUUCGAAAAAAAAGUCAACUAAUUGUUACAACGCAUAAAAAUUCAUCACCUAUUAACGAGUGGAAAUAUAUAUGAUUGGUGACUAAUUGAUGCCAAGAAUGGCAUCCGGUAAAGUGUCCACGACUGCAGCAGUAUGAGGCAUCCGCCUAUGUCCAUCGCAGAAGGAUCUGUCGUCCGACAAAGUUCUCGAUACAACAUGGCUAACACUGCGGACCCCCAACUGUAUGAACAUGUGUUAUGCAAAUUAGAUAAUAGGGGUAAGUACAUCAAGUGAACAGUGCUGCCGUUUGAUUCCGUCAUAAGUACACCCCUUAUAAGGUGCAUAAUGUAAGCUCGAACGGCCUGCAUCACCUCGCGUUCAUUAGCAGUACUCGGCAAAUACUCAAAAUUGGCCUUUAGCCAUGACAACCUCAAACUGGCAAAUUUCCCCUCACUUGGCGAGCGUCCAAGUAAUUUAUAGCAAAGGGUUGUCGGCCUGGAGAUCGAACUUACGCCCGUGACCGCAUUCCCGUCGAUGGGGAGCCCGAGCUGUACUGCAACAUCUUCUAGAGUGAUGGUGCACUCCCCGCACGGUAAAUGAAAUGUGUGAGUCUCCGGAUGCCAUCACUCGACUAAAGCGGAAAUCAAGUCAUAUCGCAGAUCAAAAGUCCGGAUCAAUGCUGCUGAUCCGAACUCGGUUAACUCCAAGAACGAUUUAGGCAUUCAUCUGGCUGAAAUCCUAUACUAUUAACACGGCCUCUCAAUACGCGGUACGACUCCUGGCAUUAUUAUAUUAGCGAAAUAAUUAAUACAAUAUAAUUUAAUUCAACAAAUAACAUGACUAUGAAAUAAAAAUUUUAUUACCAUCUCCUUAAUGGUACUUGAUAUGUGAUUUGUAUUAUCAAUCAAAGAACCCAUUUGUUAUAAAUCUGGCAAUUAAAAAAAAUUGAAUUCAGUUUUUCUUAUUCAAACGAUACAAUAAAUUUUUUCAAAUUUUAGAAAUAAACACAGUAAAUAUCUCAUAAUUUCUCAUUUUUUACCUACAAUUUUUUUUAUGUUAGAUAACAAUAAUAAUAUAAUUAAAAACAUAUAAACUAUCUAAAUAUAAAAAACAUACGAAUUAAAAAAAAACUAGAAACAUACCUAAUUAGAAGAACUUCCAAAUAACCUAUAAAAUUAUGUAACAACAAAUUUAAUCAACAUUUUAAUAAAUCAAUAAAAAUUAUCAAAUAAAUAUAUAUAAUAUAAAAGUACAUUAGAUAAAAAUUACAUUAAAAAAAUCACAAAACACUAACAAUUUAUAAUCAUAUACUAACACAAAAUAACUAUAAAAGUAUUUUUUUAAAUACAUUACUAAAAAAAUCACAAUACAUUAAUACACACUAAACCACUAAACACUAACAAUAUAUAACCUAAUCUUAAAUUACUAAUAAAAUAGCUAUAAAAAUAUUUUUUUAAAAUAUAUUACUAAAAAAAAUCACAAUACACUAAUACACUAAACCACUAAACACUAACAAUUUAUAUAACCUAAUCUUAAAUUACUAAUAAAUAGCUAUAAAAAUAUUUUUUUAAAAUAUAUUACUAAAAAAUUACAAUACGCUAAUACUAAACCACUAAACACUAACAAUUUAUAUAACCUAAUCUUAAAUUACUAAUAAAAUAGCUAUAAAAUUAUUUUUUUUAAAAUAUAUUACUAAAAAAAUCACAAUACACUAAUACACUAAACUACUAAACACUAACAAUUUUAUAUAACCAAAUCAACUAUAAAAUUAUUUUUAAAAAAAUAUAUUAUUACUAAAAAAAUUACAAUACACUAAUACACUAAAAUACUAACAAUUUGUAACCUAAUCCAUAAAUUAUUAACAAAACAAAUAACUAUAACAAAAUACAAAAAAAAACUAAUAAUUUAUAACCUAUCAUAAACUACUAACAAAAUAAUUAUACAAUUUUUUUAAAAAAAUUUACAUACUAAAAACUCACAAAACAC
rnacentral:lncRNA from 1 species